GAUGGAUAAAUUGUAAUAUUUAUAUUCUCUUUUUAAUAUACUAUAUGUUGAAUUAUGUAAAAUCAUGUUCUGAGUCAAUAUGUAGAGUUUGACUCUAAUUGAAUCUAAUCUUCUUCCAAAAAAUUAGGAAUAGUCCAAAAUUGCUUUAAAGAAUAUUGCUAAAAGAAUAUUGAUAACUAUAUGUGAAUUAGAGUUGGCUGAAAGGCGAAAAUUAUUUUCUAUAAGAUGCAACUAGCUUACUAAAAACAUACAGAUUUAGCGCCCAGCGGGUUUUGACUGUGAUUCUACCCACCUCGACCUUCACCAUGCAACCUGCAGUCUUUUAUUAUGCCUUGGCACCACCAAUUUUGUCGAGCUGAUUAAUGAGGCUUCAAGUUGACGAAGAUCACGACUUCCACCAAUUCAUAUGGGAGAAGAACUAGAACACAAGCAUGAAUACUUGGAACUAUCAAUGAGAUAAUAUACAAAGAUCUUUGAACAAAGAGGGAAAGAAAAUGGUGCCCUGUACAUGGUCACAUGACAUAGAGGAAACUUAUAAUUUUCGCAUUAAAAACAAUAUAAACAACCUGAUAUGCAAAUAUUCUUAUUAUUCCCUUCCAAUAAGCUUCACUGCUGCACAUAUAAAUUCAUGUCACGCAAUUCAUAAGAACACAACAAUCAACUAGGCCAAUUACAAAACGAAAACAAUGAAGAGCAUAAUUCUUUUCGCUUCUGCUCUGGUCCUGAUCCUCCGAAACUCCGCUUUCGCAUCCGCUUCCUUAGAAGACACAUGCAAGAAGGUGCAAGCGUCUGACCCCAACGACAAAUACGAAUUCUGCAUCACGUCCCUGCAAGUCGUUCCCGAGAGUCGCACCGCCAACCUCUCGCAGCUCACCAUCAUCGCGACACAACUGUCGAUCAAGAACUACACGCACACGUUGGGCGUGAUAGCGCAGCUGCUGAAGAACCAUAGCCUCUCGCAUUGGCAGAAAGAGGCGUUGGAGACCUGCCAAGAGUCGUAUAACUCGGGGGUGGACGACAGCAAAGACGCAAUCAAAGAUGUCAAAGCUGGUGAUAUCUUCGGCGCUUCGGCUAGCCUCUCUGCUGCUGCUGGCGCGCCUGGCGACUGUGAGGACGCGUUUAGCGAGGGAGAAGAGGCAUCUUUGCUACCCAGAGAGGAUGAUUUAGCGUCUAAGAUUAGUGCUCUUGCCAUUGAUAUCGUUGCUUUGUUAAAGUCUAAGUCAUCUAUUCCGUGAGCAAUAGCAUGUAAUGCAAACUGUUUAGCUGGGGGUUGGAAUGCAGUAAUAAUUUUCUUUUUUCUUUUUGUGAUAUGGUCACGUUUGAAAGUAGACCUGACAAUCUCCAUCCGUAUUAAAGUCGAAAAUAUGUUACCAAACUUGAAUAAUCUUAGUGUCUAAUCCUAUAAUUUAUAUAUAUCUUUUUAAGGCAUCUUUUGAUUAUGCAUUGUCACAGAUCAGCUUUUUUGCCUUGAAAAAUUCCCGCACAGCGCUCAAGUAUCGCACACCUAAUUAAGCUAGCCUUCCCGAGUCCUUAACACAGAUGCGUCUUAAAACUUCACAGCGAAAUACCAAUUCAAGCAUUCUGCCAAGCUUACUUCUCUGCAAGCAUUACAGUCUAACGUCACGCUUACAAUCAAACCCCUCGUCGGACUCUCAAGUUCCCAACGAGAAACCCCAGUAUCGAGGUUGGUCACCAAGCUAGGUGUAUCCCGUUUCGUCAAACAAACUCUCCUCAAGAAUGCUCCGUAGCCGAAUGCCUUGUUGCCUUCACCGCUAGUCACGAGGACACCACAAAUUCUCUCCCAACUUAGUCCAAUAUGACUUUAGCCAAGCGUUCACUUCUGCGGCUUGACCCGCACGCCACUGCUGUCGAGGCCCGGGCUUCGCAACAUCGCAUGCCACGAAGGGUACUCAGGAUACUAACUGAAUACACUGACACUGGGUCAUCAAUUAUUUGAAUGGGUUGCUUCUUUUGCAUUAAUGUUUUUGUGAUCUGUACUUCCUUUUUAAUCUUUUGUCUCUUUUGCAUGAAUGGAAUUGUGAUCUUUUUAAUCUUUUGUCUCUUUUGCAUGAAUGGAAUUGUGUGAUCUGUAGUUUCCUUCUAAUCUUACCCAACCAAAUUUUUUGAUACCUAGCUAAUAAUUUGCCUAAUGAGGAAACUAUGUCAGUUUAUCUAAUUGUUAUUCCACAUCAUAUAUGGCACAAAGCUUUGGUUUUUGAAUGAUAAGCAAAAUGAGUAAAUAGUAUUUUAAUUUUUUACUGAAAAUGACUAACACUGGGUCCUGAAUGAGAUACCGUAUUAAUUCUCAGCAACUACAUCUAGGUUAAACAAACAACAAUAUAACCAAGUCGAGAUCAAAUAUCAUCAUCAUACGGCAACGAAGUCAAAUCCAGCCACUUAUCGCCAUAUAUGAAGUUCGAAACAGAAAAUUUCGUCGCAUCGUGGUAGUCCAUCACAUGUUAACCAGGCCAAGUGACCCGGGUACCCACCCCUGAGCCUGGGCCACUAUCAUGUACUCGCCGUAGUACAGCGUAUCUUGGCCCUAGUUCCCGAGCCACUCGGUCCACCAGGCCGGAUCCACGAGGCUAUCGAUGUAUGAUUCAAUGUACACCAUCCUCGAAUAUGGUCCCUACGGCCUUUCGAGAUAAGUCCUGGUGCUCACAUUGCUCGAACGUAGGUCAUCUGAUACAAUUUGUCUUGACUUUUGAGUAAUUUAAUUAAUCAUGAAGCUAUUUGUUUAUAUUAAAAUCCUUAAGAAUAUGCAUGUCUACUUAAACUGUCUCAUCAUGUUGUGUUAAUUGGGUGGUGAGUCUAUUGCAUCACUUCAUUAUAUUUUUCCCUUCUAUCAUAAUUCUAUUUCUAUUCACCCUUCUUAUCCUAGAAAAACAAGCAUCGUGCCCUGUGGAGGAGGUCAGGAUGGGCCAGGUCAUAAUAAAAAACUGCAGACUGUGUGGCGAAGGUCGAGGUAGGUAGAAUCACAGCCAAAACCCGUUGGGCACUAUAUAUGUAUGUUUUAAGUAAGUUAGUUGCAUCUUAUUAACAGUUCGAGUUUUUGAAAUUAAUGAUUAGUUACAAUGAUCCUACAACCCUGGCUUAUAUAAUUAUUUGAUGAUCGUCUCAAUAGAUGGAUGUUUUCAAUUAGUCACACCUUCUCUCCUACUAGAAUUUUGAAAACAAUGGUUUGGAAAUUUUAAUCUCUGUACAGCUGUGGCACCUGAAAAGAAAUGUUCUGAUUUAGUGCAUGAAAAAUAUCUAAAAAUAGAAAGUGGUCUCUAGGUGUAACAUUCAUUGGUGAUUUUUCAUUAAUAAUGAUCAUGUUAGAAGAUUUAUCAUGUUGAAAAUGUUUUUUUUUUUAAUGCACAUAAAGAUUGCAACUCCUUUGAAAUAUUAAUUUCAUGCAAAGAGAAAGAGCUAAAAAUCAUUAACCAAAUCAAAUUAGAAAUUUCAUGACAAAUCCUUCAUUUUCUUUUUUGUGUGGAUAUAUGUAACUUGCAGGUAUCGCGCACAAAUGGCUUCGAUUGAAAGUAUAUUAUGAUGCAACUUGAUUAUGACACAUGGUUGGAUCUUUUUUCAACAUGUAUAUAUAGGUGGGUGGUGGAUUUAGAUCUUUAGAUCAUUGUAAUCUUGACCUAGAUGAUGAUAAUAUGGUGCAUUAGUUGCUUUGUUUGGCAUUUCCAUGACUUGGAGCUAUUUAAUUUGUAUGUAGAUAAUUUUAAAUUAGCCGUAUGUUAUUUACAAAUAUUAAAAACAUUCACCAUAUAAUUUUUGGGUGCUCAAAAUAAACACAUGCCAAAUUUCUAGUUAAUUGUGACAAGAUCAUAUUGACUCUUUAUACUUUCCCAUUCUCUUUUUCUGUUGUUGGAAUCAGUAUAGUAGUAUGGUUUCUUAAUUUUAUUUUAAAAUAUAAAACAUAAAAUUAAAGAUAGAUUUGUAAUAUUUUUUAAUCCUGAUACUUAAUUAUCAUAACUAAAGAAAAUAAUUUUUUAUAUUUUUUCAGUUAUAUAAAUAAAUUAUGUCGGGCCAUAAUUUGCAUGAAAAAAUUCGUACAAAAAAUAAAAUUAUUUUAAAUUUUUAUCUCAAAUAAAAAAAAAAAAACAUGUACCACCUCCUUCAUUUAUUCAUACAUUGAAUACUACACAAUUCUCUCCUUCUCCUUAUCUAAUUCCAUUACUACUAUAAUAUUUUGAGAUAAUAAAUGAAUAAGUUAAAAUAAAUUUUUAUUACAUAUUGAGCAGUACUAUUUGCACAUUAAAAAAUAUAUAAAUAUUAUACCUUGACCAACAUGCUUACAUUAGUCUUAUCAAUUAUUUUUUUAGCAUUAAUAUUUAAAUUUUUAGAUAAAUGAAUAUAAGAUUUAUAUUAAAAGAAAAAAAAAGUUGAGGAUUAAAUUGUAAGAAAUAAUAUUGUCUCCAUUCUCCAAAAACAAAUAAUACUUAGAAGCAGUUUGAUUCAAAGUUUGUAAUAUUUCAAACAUAUUAUAUAUUUUGUUAUUAGGAAUGAAACAAAUUUUACUAAUUUAUACAAACAUUUAAGUUAAUUUUUUUAAAAAAAUUAUUAUAUUUUUUUAUAAAUAGAUGACUAAUAACUUUUAUAAUGAGAACGUUUUAAAACUAUAAUAAUUUAAUAUUUCUAUCACUACAAAAUUAAAAACGAUUCUGCUAUUUUUUUAAUACUUUUUACAAUUCGAUCUAACGUUGAAUAUUGUAAAUUGUAAAUCAAAUGGGCCAUAAUUUGUAUGAAAAAAUUCGUACAAAAAAAUGAAUCUAUUUAAAUUUUUUGUGUCAAAUCCAAAAAAAAAUAACACCACCUCCAUUUAUUCAUACAUUGAUUACUACACUACUCUUUCUUUCUCCUUAUUUUAUUUCAUUACUGUGAUAAUAUUUUAUGAUCACAAAUGAAUAAGUUAAAAUAAUUUUUUAUUACAUAUUGAGCACUACUAUUUGUACAUUAAAAAAAUUAUAAAUAUUAUACAUUGACCAACAUAUUAUUACAUUAGUCUUAUCAAUUAUUUUUUUAACAUUAAUAUUUAAAUUUUUGGAUAAUAAAUAUAAAUUUUAUAUUAAAAUAAAAAAAGAAAAAGUUGCUGAUAAAGUUGUAAAAAGUAAUGUCUCCACGCUCCAAAAACAAGUAAUACUUAGAAGCAGUUGGAUUCAAAGUCUGUAAUAUUUCAAACAUAUUAUAUAUUUUUUUAUUAGGAAUGACACGUAUUUUACUAAUUUAUUCAAACAUUUGAGUGAUUUUUUUAAAAAAAUUAUUAUAUUUUUUAUAAAUAAAUAACUAAUGAUUUUUAUAAUGAGAAUAUUUUAAAACUAUAAUAAUUUAGUAUUUUUAUCGCUAAAAAAUUUAAAGUAAUUAUGUAAUUUGUUUAACACUUUUUACAAUUCUAAUGUUGAAUAUUGCAAAUUGUCAAUCAAAUAGGUCAUAAUUUGCACGAAAAAAUUCGUACAAAAAAAAACUAUUUUGAAUUUUUAUUUCAAAUAAAAAAAAAUAUAACACCACCACAUUCAUUUAUUCAUACAUUUGAAUACUACACUAUUCUCUCUUCCAUUACUGCUAUAAUAUUUUGAGAUAAUAAAUGAAUAAAUUAAAAUAAUUUUUUAUUACCUAUUGAGCAGUAAUAUUUGUACAUUAAAAAAUAUAAAUAUUAUAUCUUGACCAACAUAUUUACAUUAGUUUUAUCAAUUAUUUUUUUAGCAAUAAUAUUUAAAUUUUUGGAUAAAUAAAUAUAAUAUUUAUAUCAAAAUAAAAAAAGAAAAUGUUGAGAAUCAAGUUGUAAGAAAUAAUGUUUCCACGCUCCAAAAAUAAAUAAUACUGAUAAAUAAAAAAUAAAUAAUACUGAUAAAUAAUACUGAAGAAUAGUUUGAUUCAAAGUUUGUAAUAUUUCAAACAUAUUAUAUAUUUUGUUAUUAGGAAUGACACGUAUUUUACUAAUUUAUCCAAACAUAUGAGUGAAUUUUUUUAAAAAAAUUAUUAUAUUUUUUUAUGAAUAGAUGACUAAUGAUUUUUAUAAUGAGAAUAUUUUAAAACUAUAAUAAUUUAAUAUUUUUAUCACUAUAAAAUUUAAAGUGGAUUAUGCUAUUUUUUUAACACUUUUUAUAAUUGCAACAUUAAAUAUUGCAAAUUGUGAAUCAAACGGGUCAUAAUUUGCGCAAAAAAAUUUGUGCAAAAAAAUAAAGCUAUUUUUAAUUUUUGUGUACUAUGAAUCAUAAAGUCUCUUAAACUAGUCUCAAUUAGUUUUGGCACUCUUCUUCGUAUAUAUUAUAUAUCUCAAUUGAGGAAUAUCAUCAUCAUACUUAACGAGGUUGAAUCCAAUCACUCAUCGCCAUAUAUGAAGUUCGAAACCGAAAAAUUCGUCGCGUCGUUGUAGCCCAUCACAUGAUAACCAUGCCAAGUGACCCGGGCACCUACCCCUGAGCCUGGACCACUAUUCAUGUACUCGCGGUAGUACAGCGUAUCCUGGCCCUGGUUCCUGGGCCACUCGGUCCACCCGGCCGGGUCCACGAGGCUAUCGAUGUAUGAUUCGAUGUACACCGUCCUCGAAUACGGCCUCCACGGCCUCCCGAGAUAAGUCCUGGUGCUCACAUUGCUCGAACGUAGGUCAUCUGAUGCGAUGAUCGAACAAUUUUGAAUUGAUAUCCCGGUGUCCUCACUCGGGUCGUCCCGCGAUUGGGUUGUGACGACACUCGACUGGCCCGGGAUGGGUUUUCGGGCUAUGAUGCUGCAGCCCUGGAAGAGAACCGCUGCAUUUCCAAAUAUAAAGUCAAUGGUACCAUAAAUGUCGCACUCGUGGAAGAACUGACGAAACGAGUGGACAUAGAGUGUGUCCUGAUAACCGUCGAUGAUGCAACCGUAGACGGCGACGUGGUCAGCGUUCACUCAGAGAGCCACGGCCUGGCCCUUUGCUGGCCCAGCUGUGUUUCGAAAGGUUAUGUCGCGCCCUAAAAAGCCUUGCCCAGAAACAGCUGCGGAAUAGUUUGUAAAGUAUUGUAAAAUAAAGUUAGAUGUAAUUUACAUUUUAUUUUUGAUUACACAAAAUUUAAUUAGCCAAAUAGCAAAAGAUACUCACAAGCAGCUACCCCUUCCUGUUCCCAACUACACGAAUUUUUAUUUCAUAUGUAUAUAUUUUUAGGUAAAGUCGAUAAUAUAAUAUAAUCAUAAUUGUAUUUAGCACAUAAAGUUUAUUAAAUUUAAUCUAAUUUAAUUAGUAAAUAGUUAAAGCCUAUUAAUUUGUUUGUAUCAGAAUUAAUUUUAAAUUUUUUAAUUUUAAAAUAUCCUGAGCACUUAAACAAAAAUAAUAAGACUAAUCAUAGAUUAUUUCCUACAAAUCGAUUUUUUACGUAACAUUUAUUCUUGGAUCUGUACUAUAGAUUUUUAUAAAAAAUGAUUAAAUUUCACUUCACAAGUUGAGUUAUUUCUUUGUGAUAAAAAAUAAAUUGUGAUAUACCAAAAAGUUUACAAAACUUUAUAAAAACACAAAUUAUGCUAAUUGGAGCAAUUCAAAUUAGAUUAGGAUAGUUAUUCCUACUAAAUAAAUUAAUUAAUAAGAUACAACACUUAAUUGCCAAAUUACCCGUUAUAAAAGAGUUAUAUAACUUCAUAUAUAUGUAAGCGUAAUUUAGUUAUACACAACUUCUUCUGGGUGAUAAUGGUAUGUCCAUAGAACAAAAUAUAUGCUGUAUAUGCAUAGAUCUGGUACUUACAUAUUGAUCUAUAUAGCUAAUAUUAAGACUUAAUUUGGACUGUCAAAUUGAUCCAAAUACCAUAUUUAGUCGACAAUUGACGGUGUUGUGGAUAAAGGAUCAAAACAUAUCUAUACAAUACAUGAAUUCUCUACCUAAAAGAACGCUUCUCCUUAUUUUGGGGGACCGUGGGAUCUACAAAUAUUUUUUAUUAGGAAUCUAUAUCUAUAUGGAUUUUCAAUCUAAAAGAACCCUUCUCCUUAUUUUGUAGGGAUUGUGGGGCCCACAAAUAUUUUUUAUUAUGGAUUAAUUGCAUACAUGAAUUCUCUAUCUAAAAGAACGCUUCUCCUUAUUUUGGGGGACCGUGGGAUCUACAAAUAUUUUUUAUUAGGAAUCUAUAUCUAUAUUGAUUUUCAAUCUAAAAGAACCCUUCUCCUUAUUUUGUAGGGAUUGUGGGGCCCACAAAUAUUUUUUAUUAUGGAUUAAUUGCACCAUUGCUCAUCAAGCCUUACACCAUCUUUCACGUUUGUCCCUAACAUUUUUUUUUUUACAAUUAAGUUUCCACCUCUUGAUUUUAUUAUGAUUAUAUCCCAACUGUUAAAACAAGAUGUUAAAAUUAACGAAAUUAUCAUAUCAGUAUCUGCUUAGAUUUUUUUUUUCAUGUCAAUUUUGGCUUCCAAACUUUGUAUGUUUUUUACUUUAAUUUUCAAAAAUAAAAACUUAAAUUUUUAAAAUUAAAUUUGGAAUUAAAAGUUUAAAUUUGAAUUGAAAUUCAAAUUUUAAAUUGAAUCUAAAGUUUAAUGCAGUUGGAUCUAAAGUCUAAAAUUAAAUCGAAAUUAAAUUUUGAAUUUGAAUUUAAAGUUUAAAUUUGAAUUGAAAUUCAAAUUUUAAAUUGAAUCUAACUUUUGAUUUCAAACUUAAAUUUUUUAUUUUGAGCUAUCAAGUUGCUUUAUUAUUUUUUAAAUCAUCUCAGAAAGUUUUGCUCCAUAGAGAAAAUGUAAGAUAAUGAGCCACAAAUUAGUUGCAUCUAAUACAUAUAUUCUUCUACUUUUAAUAAGAAUUAUAAUAAGACCUUUAGCAAUAUAAUUAUAUUUUGUAUAUUAAAAUGUUCAUUCAUAGAAAUGAUAUACAAAUAUGAAUUAAGAUUUUUAAAAUAGUGACUAUUGAUGAAUGGUGCUUGAUUGAUAAUGUGAAUAGUUUUUUUAAAAAAAUUUUGAAAUUAACAAAUUGCUAUCAUGGAAUGAAAAAUAUUCAACUUUUAGAUUUCUUUUUCUCUUGGAUGAUUUUUUUCAUAUUAGUUUUUCCUCUAGUUAAAUAAUACUAGUGAAGGCACCCGCACGUUGCGGCGGGUCGAUUUCACAAAAAUAAAUAAAUAACUCUAAAGCAAGAAAUAGCAGCAAAAGAAAAAAAAAAAAGUCAAAAAGUAAAAAAGAAUAAAAACAAAAAAAACUGAAAAAGAAGCAGCAGCCGAUGCAGUAGAAGCAUAAGAAUAAAAAUAUAAAAAAAAUAAAAAAGAAAUAAGAAUAAACCAUAAGAAUAAUAAAUUAUAUUUAUAGUAUCAGUAAAUGUUGAAAACUAAAAUGUCACAUUUCUCAUACAACUUUUUUUAAACAAUGAACCAUUUUGAAUUAGCUAUCCAACCUUUCAAAAUUCAUUUUUACUAUUCAAUCUUUCAAUAUGUUAAAUUUGAAUCACUAAAUGAUAUUGUGACGUCAAAAUUCGAAUGCGUCGUUUAAUUUUACAAAUUUAAUUAGUAUACUUUCUACAAUUUUCACAUACAAUUUUACAAAAUUCGAAUGCAGUAGGUUUUCCCUUUUCUUGUAAUAGCGAAGAGAGGUGUAGAGAGGGUUGGAGAAGGAGCUCUCUUGUUCUUCUUGCUUGAUUCAAAACCUUCCAAGGUAGAUUGGAGAAAUUCUAAAAGGUAUUCCGAAACGGGAUUCGCGGAAUCGGAAGGUGCUUCAAAGAAGGUGUAGCAAGAAGGGAUUUCUAUUGGAAGAUUGUAAGCUCAUUAAAAUAGAGUGGUAAUCUCUAACUAAAUCUUGUAAUCUCCUUAUUUGAUAGUGGAUUUGAUCUCUCCGUGCCCAUGGAUGUAGCCCGGUUUGGAUGAACUACGUAAAUCUUGUGUUGUUGUUGUGGUUGUGCUUGGAUUUUUCUCUUUCAACUUCAUUUACUCCAAUCUUGCAUAUCUUGGUUGUGAAUAAUUUAGAUACAUCACAUUUGUUUACUAAUGUGAUUAGUAUCUUGAUAGUGAGGGUUCCGUCAUUAGCUCACUACAGGGCGGCGGAGAGGGAGAGGGAGGAGAUGGUGGCGGCGUGGAGUUCGACGCAGUCGACUAGGGCGCCGCGCUGCGGGGCGGCGACGAGAGUGGGGUUGGCCGAGACGUAGGCAAGGAGGGAGGAGAGGUCGGCCGCUGCGGAGGCGGUGGAGGAGAGCGAGCAUUCGCAUAUGCUUGCGAAGGAGGAGAGGUUUGCAGUAGUUGCACUACUCGUGGUGGUGGUGGUGGUGGUGUUUGGGGAGGAGGAGGAGGAGGAGGUUGUGGGGAUGAGGAAGAAGAAGAGGAGGAGAAGGGUGAGGAGAUGCGCCAUUGGAGUAAUGAAGAGUGGGAUUAUGUUAUACAGUCUCAAUGGAUCGAUACAUAUAUAUAGACUGGAGCUGUUAGACUCUUUCAUGUGUACGCACUUCAUGGAUAUCUAUACAAUACACUAUUUGACACUCCUAAAAGUGCCACGUGGCGCGUUGAGGAUAAUUCUCUCUCUACCCUACUCUCCAUGCUUCUCUCACUACCCUUUCUCUCUCUAAGUGCCACGAGAAGCGCUGAGCACAAUCCUCUCUCUACCUCUACUCUCCAUGCUCUCUCUCACUACCCUUCUCUAUCUCCUUCAUCUCUGUACCCCAAGCCCCUUCUCCCUCCUCUCUCUACCUUUUCUCUCUCUCUCUCUCUCCUCCCCUUCUUUAUCUCCUUCAUCUCUGUACCCCCUUCCCCUUCUCCCUCCUCUCUCUACCUUUUCUCUCUCUCCUCCCCUUCUCUAUCUUUUUUCUAUCUCUACCCCUCUCUCUUCCCUCAAUGGCAAUAAAAAACAAGUAGGACAAAAUCAAGGGAUCCCGAAAAAUCCGGAAUCACAAUCUGUUGGUCAUCUCUCUACCCCCUUCCCCCUCUCCCUCCUCUCUCUACCCUUUCUCUCUCUCUCCUCCCCUUCUCUAUCUCUCUCCUAUCUCUACCCCUCUCUCACCCCUCAAUGGCAAAAUCAAGGGAUCCCGAAAAAUCCGGGAUCACAAUCUGUUGGUGAUUUUUUUUUUAAAAGGCCUUUGGAUUCAUGAAGAGCCAGGGGCUCUAUAAAUAGAGCAUUUGAAUUGCGGGUAUGCACUGGGUGUGUACGCCGCCCUCCCGUCAUACGAUGCCUCCGCGGUAUAUCCCAUACUCUGUUAAAUAAAAAAAAUAAAAAAAAAGAAAUAGAUUGCACUAAGAGGAGAAAGUUAAAAAAAAAAAAGAAGGGUGUGAAGGAGAAGAAGAAAUGGGUUUUCAAAAACAAUAUAUAUAUAUAUAUAUAUAUAUAUAUAUAUAUAUAUAUAUAUAUAUAUAUAUAUAUAUAUAUAUAUAUAUAUAAUAUAUGCUAGUAAAAUGUACGUGCAAAUGCACGUAAUAACUAUUAGAAAAAGUUAUAAUUUUUUAAAUUAUUUUCAUUUUAGCCAUAUUUUAUAUGAUUGCCAAAUAUGUAUCUAAAAAUUUAAAAUAAUAAAUCACGCUAUUAAGAAAGAUAUACUUUAAAUGAUAAAUAAUUAACAAUAAUCUCUAAUGCAAAAAUUACUUUUGAAAUUUAAUAGAAAAAUAACAAUCUGUUAGAAAAUAAAUUUUUGAAAUUAAAUAGAAAAAUAAAAUCCGUUAUCUUAAAAAGAAAAUAUAUUUUGAAAUUAAAUAGAUAAUAUCUAAAAAAGAUAUUUUAAAAUAAAAUAGGAAAAUAUCUUUUAUAGGAUUUUCACACCCGUAAUCUGUUAUAGAAACUUACUUUUGAAAUUAAAUAGAAAAAUUUAUAUUUUAGGAUUUUCACAUCAGUAAUCUGUUAUAGAGAACUUACGUAUUCAUUGCUGUUUCUAUUUCUAUUUUUAUUCUUAUAUUUAAAAUUUUUCGUGCGGAAAGAGAAAAAUUGGCGCUAAUUUUUCGUUGAAAAAUGGGUCUGUCAACAGAUCCAAAUUUGAAUAUACAUGCUUAUAUAUACGUGCUUAUAUAUAUAUAUAUACUAGUUAAGUGCACGUGCAAUGCACGUCACACAAAUACUAAAAAAAAAAUUUAUAAAUAAAUAUUAUAGAUUCCAUAAAUAAUAUUUAAUCAUUACUAAAAUAAAAUGAUAGAAAUAAAAAAUAGAAUUAUAAUAUCAUAAAAGAAAGAACACAAAAUCUAUCAUGGUAUCAUUAAAAAAAAAUACAAAAUUCGUCACUAAACUAAUUGAAAAUGUCACCAUUAGUUCCCCUUCCGUACAAAUUGCAUUGUAAGUAAGAAAAACAAUAAAAUAAAUAUUAGUAAAUCAUCAGAAUAGAUAAAAUUAAAAAAAAUGUAAAUUUAAUAAGAAUUCAUAUAAGUAAAAAAUUUAGCUUAAUUUUAUUUCUUGAGUUUUUGGAAUAGGUGGAUUAAGCACAAUUUUACUUAUAAAAUUUUGCUAAAUUGAUCCUGAUAAAUAAAUUUAAAAUACCACAAAAAAAUAAAAUAUUAAAAAGUACAUUUAUCCUAAUUAUCGAUAUUAAAGUGCACUAUUUUUAUACAACAACUGAAUUGUUUACAAUAGUGUCUCUCCAAAUGCCAAUGUGUGUUAUAGCACUAUCUUGUUCUAGAGUAUGAAUCUAAUUCGAUUCAUGCUUCAAUCCAUCCAAAUAAUUAGUUAUUAAUAAUUUUUUCAUGCCAAUGUGUGUUAGCAUUAUCUUGUCCUAGAAAAUCAAUCUAAUUCAAUUCAUACUUCAAUCCAUCCAAAUAAUUAGUUCUUAAUAAUUUUAUUCAUGUGAAAUGAUAAAAAGAGAAAUAUUUUAAAUUAAAAUUCAAAUUAUCAAAUUCGCGGGUAUUAAAUUUUGGCGGGCAUUACAAAUUUAAAAUUUAAUUUUGGUACUUAGAUUGGUAGGUAUUACGUUUGAGAAAAAAAAUAUUUGAGAAAAUGUUUGGAUAUGUAAUAAAUUUAAUUUUACAUAUUACGUGAUUAGUGGAGAUAUUACGUGAUUGGCGGGUAGGACGUUAGAUAAGAGAUAAAUUUAGUUUUACGUAUUACAUGAUUGUUGGGUAGAAAAAAAUAUUUGAAAAAAAGGAUAUUUUUGUCAACAAAAAUAACAGAUACUUUUAUUUUUAUUCGUUGGAUGAGAUCCAAUGGCGAAAACUUAAGAUCUAUAUUUGAGAAUAAAUUAUUAUUUGAAGAUUUAUUUAAAAUAGAUAAAAUAUAUUUUAUAUUUGAGAACACGGAGAAUAUUUUGGUGUUGAAUAUUUUGGUAAAAAUAUUUAAAAUUAUAUUUAAUUAACGAUUUUGUUUUGAUUGGGCGGGUAUUAAUUUUUUAAAAAAAUAUUCUAUGCUUUUACGACGCAUUAUUUAAAUAUUGAAUAUUUUGUUAAAAAUAUUUAAAAUUAUAUUUAAUUAACGAUUUAGUUUUGAUUUGGGGUAUUAAAAUAUUUUUAACAAUAUUUAACGCUUUUAUGGCGCGCCAAAUUUUAAUACUCGUCAAAAUUAAAUCUACUAUUUUAUUUAAGGAAAAACCUACUAUCAUAAAUUAAAAUUCAAAUUAUCAAAUUCGCGGGUAUUAAAUUUAUGCGGGCAUUACAAAUUUUAAUUUUAAUUUUGAAUACUACAUGUUGGCAGCAAAUAAAUUUAAUUUUACGUAUUACGUGAUUAGCGAAGGUAUUGCAUGAUUGGCGGGUAUUACGUUAGAUAAGAGAUAAAUUUAGUUUUACGUAUGGUGGGUAGAAAAAAAAAUAUAUGAGAAACGCGGCGUAGAUAGGAGAUAACGGAUAUAGAGGGUAUUUUUGUCAACAAAAAUGACAGAUACUUUUAUUUUUAUUCGUUGGAUGAGAUCUAAUGGCGAAAACUUAAUAUCUAUAUUUAAGAAUAAAUUAUUAUUUAAAGAUUUAUUUAAAAUGAGUUGUUGAAAUUUACUGGACAUGACAAUAUUAGUAAAAAAGAUAGAGACAUUUUUGGAAAGAAAAAAAUUUCAAAACUCAUGCUUUUAUAAGUAGUAUAUAUAUAUAUAUAUAUAUAUAUAUGAACUAGGCUAAUAUACUAUUAAUAGUACUAAGUUAUUUGUGCUACCAAGUUUUUAGCCAUUGGAUUAAGAGAUGUACGGUUAGGAUAAUGUGGGCCCCCUAGGGUUGAGUGGGUGGUUGGUUGAAUAGUAUGAUCUAACGGGUGAAAAUAAUUAAAAUGGUAGAUCUAACUGCGAAAAACUUGGUAGCACCAAGUGCUCCAUGCUAUUAAUAGCAUAGUAGCCGGACUCUAUAUAUAUAUAGAACUAGGCUACUAUGCUAUUAAUAGCACCAAGUCGUUGAUGCUACCAAGUUUUUGGCCAUUGGAUUAAGAGAUGUGUGGUUAGGAUGAUGUGGGCUCUCUAGGGUUGAGUGGGUGGUUUGUUGAAUAGUAUGAUCUAAUGGGUGAAAAUGAUCCAAAGGGUAGAUCUGACGGCGAAAAACUUGGUAGCAUCAAGUGCUUCGUGCUAUUAACAGCAUAGUAGCCGGACUCUAUAUAUAUAGUUUGAUAGAGGAAACCAUUGCUGUCGCCGUCGAGGGCGACCCUACCGACGCUGCUGCUGUCGCGUCCCCCAAGCCACAAUCGCUGCUGUAUACGCUGCAGACUACGCCCAAACCGUCGCACCUGUCCAAGUCGUUGUCGCACCAAAGUGACGCCGUCCCUGCUGCGUCCUUGGCCGUCGCCACCCAACGCGCCUCGAAUCGUCGCCGCCCGAACCUCUGUUUGCGUUAAAGUCAAAGUUGAAGCUAACAGCCCAUUGCCUCGGAAGCAAGGACCAAAACAAAGGGGUGGAGUAUUUUAUUUGCUUACAUCAAAGUGUACCCCAUGACUGUUUUUUUUUUGUUUUAAAUUAUCAUAUUUUAUGUCAAAUAAAAUGAACAAAGAACGAAAAAACGAGAGCCCCAUUUUAUGUCAAAUAAAGAAAAGGGGAAAGUAAAAAAAUUUACUACAACUAUGUGAGUGUGAAGUAAAAAAAAAAAAAAAGAAAAAAGUAAAAGAGGAAAAUAGAAGAAGAAAAGAAAGGUACAAAAAACAAAAAAUAAACAAAAUAAAAAAAAUUAAAUUAGAAAAAAAGACUGCGCUUCUCCUCCCUUUUCAUAUUUAGUUAAAUUAAAAUGACCAAAAAUAGUUAAAAUUAUUAAAUCCGGUGAACCUACUAAUGAAUUUAAUAGAUUUAUAAAAUUUUUGAUAAAUUUUGUUUAAUCAAUUAAAUAUUUAGGAAGCCUCUAUACAUUUUCACCAUAAAAAAUUUUGAUAAAAAAAGGUGUACAGACCUCCUCAACUAUUAAACGCUUUGAAAUAGACAACUCCAAAUUAUUUUUUAACUAAUUUUAAUAAUUUUUAAUUUUUAUGCUUAAUUCUAAUUAAUUAAAUAAAAAUUGUUAAUAUUUAUAUAAAUUAAAAUAUUUAAAUUAUCUGAAAUACUACCUACCCGCCGCGAAGCGCGGGCCCUACACUAGUAUAUAUUAAUAUAUAUAGACACAGCUAAUUAAACACUUCUUCAUGCGUGCACGUCAUGGAUAUACACAUAUAGACACAGAUAUUAUUCUCUUAAACGCAUACAGUAGCCGUAUAUUCAUAGCUUUUUAACCGUCAGAUCUGCUUCAAGGUUCGUGUAGUUUUGCUGGUCAAUUUAUUAUAGUUAAUUUCUCCCAACCAAUUUUUCUGUCCCAGAUUCCAAAUUAAUUAUUGUAGAGCAUGCAUCCGCCUCCUCCUUCCCUCUGGCCGCCGCCCACCACCACCACCUCCUUUCUCCCCCAACUACCCCUUGCCUUCGGGAUGGGGCCGAGGGUGCUCCGACUCCGGCAUUCUCGUCACAUUUAACGUCGCUGUUGUCGGCAGGUCGACAUCGUCUCCCUCGGCGCCGGCAGCACCAUCGUGCCCUACCACCUCGACGCCAUCGCCGUGGAUGCCUUCUCCGCUGCUGAGAAAGUUGUUCUUCGUCUCCGCCUCUGUCGGGAACAGCGGCCCCGAUGAGCUCAUUGUCACCAAUGUUGCCUCGUGGGUCGCCAUCCUCAGGGUUUGGGGUGGCGACAGUGGUCGAGGUGGGUGCUACCGGUGCCGGAGGAUGAGGAUGAGGAGGGGUGCUGUACGAGGAUUAAUUGAUAAUUAGCCAGAGAAGUUAAUUAGAAAAGUUAAUUAGGGUGCAGAAGUUAAUUAUCUAAAAUUAAUUGGGAUAAAUUAGUCAUUAUAUAUGCACAGACCUUAAAGCAGAUCUAAUGGCCAAAAAUAGUUACGAGAACAAUAACUAUUUAAAAUUUAAAAUUUAUAAUUUAUAAUUUAAAUUUAAAAUUUAAAAUUUAAAAAAUUAAAGUUUAAAAUUUUUAAAUUUAAAUUAAAAAUUAAAAAUUUAAAUUUUAAAAUUUUAAAAUUUAAAAGUUGACAAUUUAAAAUUUUAAAUUAAAUUUUUUAAUAUGACGUACUGAAAGGGUUUCAAGAGCUAGAGGGAUAAAAUUGUUAUUUUACAUAAUAUGCAGUAUUACUGACUUUCAGUAAUCCAAGAUACACAUCACCUCUCGUUAAUAUUUUUUGUGUAAUUCUGCAUAAUUUGUAAUGCUAUAUUACCAACCUGAUUAUAUAUCGAAUGAACCAAAUACGAUAAUUCUCACAGGAUUGCAUGUAAUCCUGCCAGGAUAACCCGAACCAAACGCAUCCUAAGAGUAUAGUAGUAGCUGCACUAGAUAUAUAGAGAGAGAGAGUUGGACUAAAAUACUAUUAAUAGUGUUUGCCCAUUUUGAUCAUUUAUAGCCAUUGGAUUAAAUAUUAUAACCCAGUGAGUACCACUCAACUUUAAGAGAAUAAUAUCAUACAAACCCUACAAUUUCUCAUCCAAGGGUUAUAUAGUUAAGCGGAAAUACUAUCGGUAACAAUAUGCUAUGUUGCUAUCUAUUUAUUUUUUAUGACAGAGCCUCUAAAUCGACGAUCUGCACCGUUGAGCAUAAUCUAUAGCAUUUAAAAUAUCUAAAAAUCAGAUUUCACACUUUUUCGAUAUUGCUCUCUUAUCCAUCAAGUGGACACAAAAAUAAACGACUGGAAAUGAAUAUCCUCUAAAAAAUGAUGAUAGGAGUUUUGUAAUCAAGAUCGAACGUAUAGAUCUUGUUCUAAACAAUUUAAAAAAUUUUCUAACAAAAAUUCAAUUAAUUUGGAUAUUGCUAUACUAUUAAACGAGAAAACUCCUUAUAUCGGUAAUUAAAAUUAUAAAUUUUGAAACUCUUUGAUCAAUAGAUCAAUAAUGUCGAAAUAAUUUAAAAUUUGGUUUCUAAAUACUUCAAGUGGCAUAGAUCAUGUUCAAUAGUACCGUUCAUCGAUGUGGAGGUCCCAUCAUCAAAAAUAAAUGGGGGACAAUGAAACCCGUUUGCUACCGAUAGCAUUUCAGCUCGAACCCAAAAUUAUAUAUUUAAUAUCCAAAGUCCGGCCCAAACGUGGUCUAUCGGACUAGGCCAUAUUUAGGCCCGGGCCCAAUUCCACCCCUAGUUUUGAUGGCGAGCGGUGCACGGCCCGGGAUGGCGAGGGUUUUGAAGAAUCCGAAGUUUUAAUGGUGAGCAGUGCGUGGCUCCACGGUGGCUUCUGAUCGCCAGUGGCCGGUCUGGAGGGGGGCGAGGAGGAGAGGAGUAAAGAGGGCUAGGGCAUACUUUGAGCGAGAGUAGAGGCGAGUGUUUUUUGCACGAGUUUUUUUUUUAUCUUUUUAACGGAGCAUGCUUUUUUUUUGGCAAAUAAUACAGAAUUUACGAAUUAUUCGUCAAUAAUAGCUUUAAACUAAAAAAAUAUAAUUUAUUUCGAAUUUUUGAGAAAAAAAAAUAAAUACGAACUGUUUAAUUCAAUUACCAAUAAUUUGCGAAUUAACUAACUAAAUUCUAGCUUCUCUUAUUUUGUUUUUCUUAACUGUGAGAGAAAAACUAAUACAUAUAGCCUAAUAAAUUCCACAUCAGAAUAUCAUGCUUACUUAUCAUAUAAAACUCAUAGUAUGUUUUUAAUAAUUGUAUAUUGGACAAUUACUAAGUAUUCUAUUACUAAAGCAAAAUAUAAAAUUAUUGGCUAUUUUCCAAUUUUGAUCGCCUCUGCAAAUUUCGAUCAUCCCGUAUAUGUGUCCUGCCUUAGUAAGCAUCCAAAUAUAACAUUACCUUUUUAAUUGAGAGAGAGAAUAUACUUUACAUAGAUUUUUCUACUGAUUAACAACAACAAAAUAGAAGUUUUUUUUUUUUUGGUAAAUAUCUAUGGAUCUAUGAAGUUUGAAACCGAAAACUUCCUCACAUUAGUCCAUCACCUAAUAACCAGCCCAAGUGACUCCGGCAUCCACCCUUGCGUUGGCCUCUAUUCAUGUACUCGUAGUACAGCUUAUCCUGGUCCCGGUUCCCAGGCCACUCAGUCUGCCCGGCCGGAUCCACGAGGCCAUCGAUGUACACCAUCCUCGAAUACAGCUUAAUUCCGCGGCCUCCCGAGAUAAAUCCUGGUGCUCAUGGCCUCUCGAGAUAAGUUCUUGUGCUCACAUUGCUUGAACGACUAUCGAACAAUUUCGACUGCCCGGGAUGGGCUUCCGGGCUAUGAUGCUGCAGCGCUGGAAACAACACCGGGUUUCCAAAUAUGAAGUCGAUGGUGCCGUAAAUGUCGCACUCGCGGUAAAACUUGUCAAAUAUAAAAAUGUUUAAAUACCGUUCUUUAACAGUUUAAACUUUUAGAGGACAACGGUUGUUCACAUAGUAUCAGAGCAGGAAGUAAUUCAAACCCAUGUCAUGAUCCGACCAAAAAAUUCCAAGCUCAGAUGUGAAAGAGAGUGUUAAAUAUAAAAAUAUUUAAAUACCGUUUUAUAAAAAUGUGAGAGGGAGUAUAACGAUUGUUUCACAAAACUCCCGUUGACUCAGAGGGCCAGGCCGACGAGGCCGCGUUCACUCGGAGGGCCAUAGCCUGGCCGGCCCUUUGCUGGCCCAGCUGUGUUUCGAGAGCUAAGAAGCCUUGCCCAGAAACUGCUGCGCAAUAGUUGCUAACGUAUUAUAAAGUAUGAAGUUAAUUAUAUGUAAUUUACUUCUAACUGCUAUCAAAACGCGUAGUUAGCAAAAUAGCAAAACGCGUAGCAAAAUAGCAAAACAAGAAACGUUAUAUGUAACUUACUUCUAACUGCUAUCAAAACGCGUAGUUAGCAAAUAGCAAAACAAGAAGCUAUUAAUCUGAGGUUCACGUGACUAAACUAGAUCAGAUAUAUUUCUAUUUAUUUAUUUAACUACAUUAAAGGUGGUUUGUUUAAUUUUUAAUGUAAUAUAUAUAUAUAUAUAUAAAAUUUAAAAUUUUGAUACUUUCAAAUUUUAAAGUUUUAAAUUUAAAAUUUUAUAUUUAAAUUUUAAAUUUUAAUUUUAACUUAUAAUAUUUAUUUUUAAGUUUUAAACAUCCAAAUUUAAAAUUUUAAAUCUCUAAACUCUAUAAAAUUAAUUAAUUAAUUAAUUAUAUUAAUAAUUAAUUAUAUAUAGUAUAAUUAAAAAAAUUUAUUUGUAAGUAUAGUUUUCGUUUUGUCAUGUGGGUGCCAGCACGGUGGGGAGGAAAAAAAAAGUGAAAAUAGUGAAUGGUCACCGCAUUCGUCAAAUUAUUUACGACUUAUAAAAGUGGUAAGUGGUUCAUCACUUUUAAAAAUAGCAUACAAUGACAGAAUGGGAGAGAGAAUGAGAGUAAAAAUUAAUAAAGGUGGUGAACAGACCACUGUCUUUAAAAUAAUUUUUUGAUUUUAAGAUGUGCUAUAAAAGCGAUUAAUGAUUCGUCGCAUUUAAGAGGCCGUUAGGUUGGAUAUAGUUACAAAAAGUGUAAUUGUUGGAAGUAUAUGCUGUUGCAAAUGCUGUAACCAUAAUUACGUCUAAUCUGUUUGGUUUUAUGUAUUUACAACUGUUGCAGUUACAUUUCUUCUGUUUGGUAGGUUGUAAAUUGAGAUUUGAAUUUGUAAAUUCUGUUAAUUUUUAAAUAGAAAGAUGAGAUUAUCUCUUCUGAAUAUAACGUAAUCAUGUUUUAAUUAUUAAUUAAGAAUUUUAUAUCUAUAUAUAAUUUAUAUAUUAUAAAAUUAUAUAUGAAUUUAAUAAAUUUUAAAUGCAAACAUAUUAUAGAUUUCGUCAAGACAAAAAUUAAAAUAUUAUUAAACUAUGAAAAAAAAAUCACACUUUAUUUUUUUUUAAUAGGCGAGUCGAUUCAAGUCCAACAACUGCAGUUGGUUUGGCUGCAGUACCAACUGCAGCAAUUGGGCUUUUUCUUGUAAAUGCAACUGCAAUAGUUGGACCUAAUUAUACCAAACCAAAUAAAAAUUUAAUAGAUGCAUAUAUUUUCAACUGCAGUUGAAAAUGUAUGUAAUAAAACAGCCCCAAAACGCGGUAAUUCAUUUAUUGUUUAUAUUAUUUAUUUUUAAAAAAAUUUAAUAUAGCAUAUUAGAGGUAUAUUUUUAUAAUUACUUUUUUACAAAAAUUAUUUUUGUAAUCCUAAAAAUUGGUAGGAUCAUUUCUAAAAAAAAAAAAUAGUUUAUUUUGCCUUUCCUUUCCAGCUUUGUUACAUUUAUUAAUGUACCUUUAUGUCCUUUCUCUUGAAUGUUUAACAGAUACUUCUGUUGGGUCUUGGUUUCUUUUGGCUUUCAUUUCACUUUUCUUGCUAUCUUGCCUCUCUCUAUAGUUUUGAAAUACAAUUGCCCAUAAUUGUUCAUCUUUUCUUUUUCCUUUUAUUUUAGAUUUUGCUGGAACUUUAUUUACCUGUUUCUCUUAUAUAUAUUUUUUCAGUUUUUUUUUCAGUUAUUAAAAUUUUACUUUAGCUGGAAUUGCCUAUAAAGUUUUAUGCUUUCACUUAUAUGUUUCAAUAAUUACUCUCGUAAUUUUUCAUGUUUUUCAUUUCAUCGAACUUUGUUACGUAAUGCUUCUCAGUUUCUACUACCAUUUGUAAUCGGUUCUGGAUCUUAUCUUAUUUGGCAUCUCUUUUUUUCCCCCUCCCUUUGUGAAACUAUUGCAAGGUAAUUAAUCCCCACAUAUAAUAAAGCUUAAGAUGAAUCACAUGAACCAUUAUAAGGACCCAAAAUUGGCAUGUAAUUACCAGGAUAAUAUAUAUGGUGAAGAAUACACACAAAAAAAAGAAAAACCAAUUUCACAAACCUUCACAGUUAACCAUCUUUUCUAACAUUUGUAGUCAUAAACAUCUUAUACCAUUAAACCUGCUGUGUACUUCACACCAGUAGAGGGUAACCACAAGUUGCCGUCGAUAAACUGCGCCACCGUGAAGUUGACGGCCUGAGCCGAGCUGUUCAUCGCGUGGUAACCUGGCCACUUGACCCGGCCGCCCAAACCUGAGCCUGGUCCAAAGUUCAUGUACUCGCCAUAAAACAACGUGUCGAGCCCGAAUGUUCCAUUCCAUUCGAGCCACCCUUCGGGUCUGAUCACGUUACCGAUGUACGACUGCAUUAUUACCGUUCUCGAGUACUCCUUCCACGGUCGACCCAAGUACGUGUAGGUCUGGUUCGUCGUCGCAUUCGCUAGGAAUGUAGCAGACAAGUCCGAGUCGGCUGACACGUUGCAGAAUUGGAGGGCAAAUCCGGUGUUUUGGUUCGGGUCCUUACGGCCGUGGGCUGUGACGGAGUUCUUCUGAUCCGGGAGGGGUCGACGCACGAAGAUCUGGCAGUUUUGGAAGACGGCAGCAGCAUUGCCGAAGAUGAAGUCGACGGUGCCAGAAAUCCGACAGUCGCGGUAGAAUUGGCGCAGGGAGUGCGCGUAGAGAGUGUCCUGAUAGCCUUCGAAACUGCAACGGUAGAACGCUGAGAGGUCCGAGUCCGACCGCAGCGCCACCGCCUGGUGCUUCGUCGGUCCUGCGGUGUUCUCGAUCGUCAGGUCGCGAGCAAUGAAGCCUUUGCCAGAUACGGCUGCACAUAGCAAAUCAGAAACAAGUAAACAAAACAUUUUAAAUAUUAAAUUUUUAUCCAACUGCAUUAAAUCUGAUCAGUAAUUUUAAAAUUUUAAAUUUACUUUGCGCGUCAAAAUUUUAGUACACCAACCAACAAUUACUUCAAAAGGAAAUGCGUGUGCAUGUGAGGUUGUACAUGUCUGUACAAUCACUGGAUUUUUUUUAUGGCAUUAAAAUCGAUCCCAUCCGUCCAUCAGACAAACAGUGAGGAUGUACAGUGUAUAAAUUAUUAUCUAUUUACACGGUGUUACGGUGCUCCAUAUCGUCGGUGAAUAUAUUAUUAUAUAUUUAGUUGGGAACAAUAUGGACACAAAAAUUAAAAAAUCCAAACCCAAAAAAAAUUAAAAAGAAAGAGAGAAAAAAAAAUCCGGUGAGAAAAGACGAGAUAAUGCGAGUCCCAAGGAAUCCGUAAAGCCACUGUGGUCCCCACGCGUACUGCUAUUUUUGGAUACUUUAAAUUUGACCCAUAGGAUUCACGGGGACCAAGUUUUACCUAUUAAAAUACUUUACAAAAUUACUAUUAUUUAUUUAUUGAUUAAUUUAUUUAUUGAUUUAUUUAUUUUAUAAGUUGUUUUUGAAGGUCUCAUUCCAAAUAUCCCUUCCAUAUAUAGUUAUUAUUAAGUUUUUUUUCUAAGUGUUAAAUUAGUUACUAAAAUGACAAUCAUUAGACUAAAAACAUAGAAUUAUAAUCUUACUAAUGAUUGCUGACUUAAACAGGUCAUUUUGCCAUAUGGCGAAAUGUCAAGAUGGACUGAAUCACGUUCCAAAUAAUGUGAGAUUGGUCAAGUCAAGUCAUAUUUCAAGUGAUAUAAAAUUGGUUGGAUCAAAUUACAAUCGAGAUUCGUAGGUAUUGAAUUGAUUGUCUAUUUUGAGUAGGUCAAGUUUUUAGAAUUAAUGAUUAGCAUCAACUAACAGACAGUGAUGUCUAAUAAUUCUAACCAAAUUACACUAAGUUGAUGUAUAAAUGUAAACUUAGACAAAAUUUUGACUAAUCAAAAUUUUAAUAUAAAAAUGAAAAAAAGUACUGUAAUCAAUGAAUUAUUUAUGAUCAGAAGAAUCUUAGUUGAAAGAGACAGAGAGAGAGAGAGAGAGAGAGAGUGACUGACCGACAGUGGCGCUCCUGAAAGUCGUCCAGCCGUCGAUGAAAUUGCGACUGCCGGUGAUGACCGUCUGCCCCAUGCCAUCGCCCACCAGCAUUAAGUUCCACUUCUUCUUCUUCACGUCCACAUUCUCUCUGUACACCCCCUUCUUCACGUAGAUCACGUACCUCUUCUCGCUCUCCAGCGGCGCCGCCUCCACCGCCGCCGUCACGGUCGUGUAGUUCCCGCUCCCGUCCUGCGCUACCACCGCAUCAGGCGCGAACGCUGAACUAGCAGAUUGGAGAAUUCUCCGCCGCGCCCCCGGUGUCACCCAAUUCGGAAAUCCUUCCACUAGUUUUCGACCGUUGCCGCCGCCGCCGCCACCGCCGGAUGCGGCUGCAGCGAUUUCGGACAAGCCUUCGCCGACGAGGGACGUGAUCAGCUGGAGCCCGCCGGAGACCAGCGAGCCCAGGAUGGAAUCAGUGCCGUCGAAGCCCUCAGUGCAUGUGUCCUGAUCACGCCGCAUUAAAAAAUAUAAAUAUAUAUAUAUUAAAAUACUGUUUUAUGGCAACUUAAACAACGGCCUAGAUAGUAAGUAUUGAGUUAUAUGAAAUAACUAUUUUUUUAAAAAUUUAAAUUAUCAAAAAAUAAUACUUUUAAUAUUUAAUAGAGGUAAGAUAUGAAUUUAAAUUAUAUAAAAAAAUUAAAUAAUACUAAAAAUCUGAUUUUAAGAUCUUCUAUUUUAAUAUCACAUAUAAAAUAAAUAUAAAAUAAUUUAAAAAAAAAAAAAAAGAUUAAGCUAUCACGUACUGCAUUUUUAGUAUUAUUUAAUUUUUUUAUAUAUAUUUAUAUAUAAAGUAUUUUAACACAAGAUUAUCGAUCGAUCGGGUACAGGAGUAUUUAUAUGUAUGUACUAUGUAAGGUGACUCUAUCGUGUCGUCUGACCCAAACCGUGUUUUUUCGUGGUCGUCGAGGUAUUUCGAAGGAUAUAUUUGUGGGUUGAGGGGGAUGGUAGGAGAGGAAUUAAUAUGUAUUGUAAUAUAGUACCGAGGAGGUGGGGGAGAACAACAUUAAUAAGAGGACGAAUGAGAGAAGGAAUAAGAGAGGGGUCGGGAUAGGGAGGGUCGACGAGGGAGAAGAAGAAGAAGGAGGCGGAAGCUUGGCCUUAAGCACGACAGCAGCAGCGACGACAGCUGCGAGGCUAGGUGCCGCCUGCUCUAGCCCUCCCACCGCAGCUACCACAGCAGCAAGAGGCCGUACUAGCCGCCGCCGCUGGAGGCGGAGAGGAGGCGGCAGAGGCUGACGGAGCUGGAGGAGCUGGAGAGGAGGCUGCUCGAGAGGACCUGGUAGAGGCGGAGGGUCUCGUGGUCGUCGUCGUCGUCGUCGUUGUGGUUGUCGCCUCCGCCUCCGCCUCCACCUCCGCCGUGGCCCUUGGCGGCGAGGCUGGAGGCGAGGACCGAGUCGCGGCGGGAGCCGUUGGUCCACGCACGGGUGUUAUUGGCAAUGAGAGAUUUUCGAAUUCGUCGGUAGAGGAUAGGAAUCGCGUUUAUCGCUUUUUGAAUCAUCAACUAUAAGCUCUAAGGUUUAAAGUUAAGAACAACUAAAUAUAAAAGUUGAUUCAAAUAAAAACUUUUUUUUAUCUGCUUCGUCAUCGAUGAGAGAUAAAGUCAAAGCGCCCGUUUUUAUGGAAGGCACGUCAUUGUUUUUUUUCACUAAUUUUUAUAUAUAUUAUUCUAUUUUAAAAAACACUAGGGCGGUUUUUAGCUUUUUGGAAAGAGUAUCACAAUCCAUCAAAAGCGAUAGGUUAUUUGAAAUAAGUUGUAAAAAAACAAUGNCAUAAUCAAAAAUUUGAUUUUUAUAAGGGACCAUUUGAUUAAGAUAUAAUUACAAAUACAGUUAAAAAUGUAGCAGUUAUAAUUAUAUAUAUCUUAUUUGAUUUGAUGUAGUAGAAAGUGUUGUAGCUAUAAAUAAUUUAUUUCGCUGAAUGCAGUUUGAUAAAUAAAUUUUAAAAUUUUAUCAUUGUAUAUAUAUAAUGGUAAGAUUAAUUACUCUAAUAUUGAAAAAAUAUAUUUUUAUUUAAAAAAUAAUUAAGAAUAUAAGUUUAUCUUUAAUUUGCUUAAAGUUACGCUCUCCAAUUGUUGCAGUUGAGCUUCCUUCUGCAGUUUCUACUACAGCAGUUUGAGUUAAAUAUAUCAAAUCAAACAACAAAUUUGCAUUUACAUAUAAUUAUAACUGCAGUACAGUUGUAAUUAUAUGCAACCAAACAGUCUCUAAGAAUUGUGUUAGCAUACAUUAUUUGAUAAUACAUGAGUAAUAUUUAUUAUCAAUAUUUCUAUCAUUAAAUUAUUGUUAUUUCAUCUGCCUCCACUAAAUUUUAGAUAUUUAAUUGCCAACUUUUUGAUAAUGAAUAUUAUUUCAUACCUUAUUCUAUCUUGACUAUUUUUAUAAUUAUCUUAUAUUUCUGUAUUUGGUUUAAUAUAGUAAUAUAAUAGGCAAGUCAUUGCUGAGCUAAGAACGAAGAAUUAGUUGAGUGCAGGAUGGAGAUCUCUCUGAUUGAAAUGAAGUAGUGAGAAAAUAUUUUUGAGAGAAACUAAUCCUCUAAGCUAUUAAUAAUUCUGUAUUGCCGAAAAUACUACAUGUGAAUAAACAAAAUAUAAUAAUUUUAAAAAUUUUCUGCAGUAUAUAACAUAAACAGAGUAUGCCUUAAGAUUCUAAGGUUUUGUGGAAAAGCUUUUCAUACAAUUUUUUCUUUCCAUUUUUAUGUAUUUGUAUUUUAAUUUUUUUUGUGAGAAAAUUAUCAAAUUCUUAAUCAAUUAAGUUCGCUAGGUGUCGUAGGUACUAAUUAUUAUUGAAGGCUUUUAAUAUAUAUAUAUAGAGUGAGGCUACUAUGCUAUCGGAAGCACGGAGCCUUCCGUGCUUCCAACUCGUUUUCGAUGUUGCGACUUUCGAAUCGUCGAUCGGCUCCGUUAAACUUGAUCUAGAGUAUUUGAAGUACCUAGAAAAUAAAUUUUAUUAUUUUUUGAUAUCAUUUGCCUAGUGAUCGAAUGAGCUCAAAAUCAACAAAUUUUAAUGGCCGUAGUGAGCUGUUUGCAAGUUUAACGGUGUAGAAAUAUCCAAAUCACGUGAAAUUUUGAUAGAAAAUUCUUUAUACUAUAUAAAACAAGAUCAAUAUCUUUGAUUUAAAAUUUUAAUUUCAUAAUUAUUACAUUUUGUAAGAUUUUUAUUUUCAGCGUUGAUUUAGCCCCUUCGUUCACUAGGCAAAUGAUAUCGUAAAAUCAUAAAAUUUAUUUUCUAGGUAUUUCAAAAUCUCUAGAUCAAGUUUAACGGAGCCAUUGACGAUUCGAAAGUCGCAACAUCGAAAACGAGCUGGAAGCACGGAAGGUCCGUACUUCCGGAUAGCAUAGUAGCCUCACUAUACUAGAUAUAUAUAUUAUUAUAUAUAUAUAUAUAUAUAUAUUAUAUAAUAUAUAUUAUAUAUAUAUUAUAAUAUAUAUAUGCUUUAUUAGAGAUCAUGGUUUUGGCAUGUUAUAUUUGCAUUAUUAGUUGAUAAUAGUUACCCAAUUAUUAUUUUUUUUAUGAACCUAGCUAUCUAUUUACGCGAACACUCUACAAAAUAAUCAUAUCAUGGAUUUCUCUAUUUAAUUAUGAGGAUUAUUCAUCUGAUCAAAAAUAUUCAAUUUUUUUUUCUAUUUUCCACAUUGAGUUCUAACUAUUUUCUUUUUUAUAUUGAAUCUUUAAUAGCUAUUUGGUUUGUGUGUUUCAAUAGAGUUUUUUCUAUCAAAAUAUAUAUACGUAUUAAUUCAAACAAAUAUUAGAAACUACUUAUUGCCAAAAGGAUCCAAACCUAUUAAUUAAUUCUUUAUUUUUUAUUUUUUUUUUAUUUUUUUCUUUAUUGGAUGAAUGGAAAUUGUUAGCUGUGACGCAGAGAUAUCUUAUUUAUCUUUUUCCCUAAAAUAUACCUUCAAAGAAAGCGACAUUUCAUAUUAAUAUUGUGGUACUUAACAAUUUAUCGAAUUAUAGGCCACAAAAAAGUUUGACACUAAAUGAUGUCUCAAUUAUUUUAUCUUUUAACAUUUUUUAUAAUUUAUUCUUUAGAGAAAAAGAACGUGCUAUUUAUUUUAUUUAUUUUUUAAAAAUUAAACUAAAUUAUGAAAUAAAGUAAUUAGUCUUCAAACUUCGUUAAAUAUUUUACCACUUGCGCUAUGACCAAUCAAUAUAUUUUAAUAUCUUAUUGUAUCUUUUAAUCAAUCUGAUUAGUUGUUGGUGUUGUUCGUCAGUGAAAAUGUUUCCUUAAUUUUUGGCUAAUUAAAAAGCCAGAGAUUGUUUUAAUUGUUCGGCGAAAUCAUAUUCAAGGUAUGGAAAAGUUUAAUUAGUCGCAAGCAAAAUUUUUGUAAACUACUAAUUAAAAUGUUAUGUCACAUUCGAACUAUAGAUUCAAAGUAUGGGUUUAGGAUUUAGGAGUUAAAAUUUAGAAAGGAUUAAUUAAUUACAUUAAUCAUGAGAUACGUACACAUUAUUUAUUAUGAUGUUGUACGAGAGAGGGUUGUGGGAUCUACCCCUUGUGGGAGACAAAAUCACAUGUAAUGUUGCAAAUUUGGUGGCUUGUCACCCUUAUUUAUUUGACCAGUUCAAAUUAGAUUUUGCACAUGAAAUUUUUAGAAUUUAAUUUGAAAAUCUCAAAAAUAACCUCCAUAUGAUUUGUAAUGUUCAAAUUCAAAUCAAUUAAAACAAUGGAUUGCUAUUAUGCAUUCUAUAUUUUGCGUACUGAGUUGUGAAAAAGAGCGUCCAUAUAAAUCGAUAUUGUAUGCUUAUAAAAAAAUAAAAAAUUAAAAAAUAAUUGUUAUUUUUCAAAAGUUUGAGCCGUUCGAAUGAUUCUCUUUCUCACGUCUCAUGCCAAUAUGCGGAAUAAUAAAAUAGGAUAAAAUUAAAUAAAGUUAAAAUCUAAUGGGAUUCAUUGAAAUCUUAUACUAUAUACAAAAAAAAUAAAUUAAACAUUUAUUUGUUCUAAAAUUUUAAACUGUCAAAAAAUAUGUCUAAAUCUUAUAAUCUAGUCUUUGAAAGACUAAAAUUUAAUCACUUGUCUUAUUAUUUUUUUUAAUACUAAAAUUUGAAUGAGAAUUUUAAAUCUUUAAGUUAUUGUGUACAUUGUUUUUCAUUCAAAGGAGCAGGAACUCCAAGCUCCACACAUUCAAAUCAAUAUUUUCAUGCAGUAAUAAAAGACACAUUCAAAUCAAUAUUUUCAUGCGGUAAUGAAAGAGAGAGAAAUGAUGAAGAUUUGCUCAGUAUCUAAUCUAGUUACCGCAAAAAUAGAUAGAAAUUAUUUUAAAAAAAGAAAAAACUUUUAUUUGGGAGAAAAUUUGGCUCGCAGAGGACGGAAAAUCAUAUCAUAAUUAAAACCAAGAUAAAAUUAAGCAACAUUAUAUAUAUAUAGAGAGAGAGAGAGAGAGAGUAAUUAAUGCUACUAUCCUCUUAUGAAUAUAGAAUUCUUCGUACUCGUAAGUUAUUUUUAAUGAUAUAACGAUUUAGAAUAUUUGAACUUCUAAAAAAUAAAUUUCGUAAUUUUUUGAAAUCAUAAUGAAAUCCAUCAAUUGGGCAUAAAAUGAACGGUCAAAAUUGAAUGACGUUCUAAAAUAAAUGAUCGGAUCCUUCAAUUUAAGAUCGGAGUUAUUUAUCAUUAUCUAGGUAAUGAAUAAAAUUUUUUAUAAAAAAUUCAACUAAUUCCGAUUCUUUUGUACUGUUAAACUAAUAAGUAUUUCAUACCGGCCGUUAAAAAUUGUCAAUUUUGAAGUAUUUUGAUCGCAAGAUAAAUAAUAUCAAAAACUAUAAAAUUUAAUUUUUAAAAAUUUUAAAUGCUCUAGAUAACAUUUAGGGCCCGUUUGGUUCGAGUUAUGUAAUAUUAUAAAGUAUCUCGACAUAUCCAGGUAUCUUGGAUUUCGGCGUGAGAUUACUACUGAUGCUGCAUUAGAGUGUUUGGUUUAAUACAGUAAUGUAAUACUAGAUUAUAGUGUUUAUAGUAUUAAUAUGUUUGGUUUAGUUUAUAAAAUUUAGAAAUCCUGACAUAAAAGUAUAGUUUUUUUCAAAAUUGCCCUUGUUGUGGUCAUUUGAAUAUUAUUUUUUGCGAAAAUGACGAAUGGAGGGAAGGAGAUCGUGAUGAUUACUUGGGAGGACGACGCAAUAGAAGAUGAUAGGUGUACGUGCGCGCGCGCGAGAGAGAGAGAGAGAGAGAGAGAGAGACGUCGAGAGAGAGAGAGAGCGAGAGAAAGCGGCGUGCAAGAGAGAGGGCCGGGGGGAAGGCGAGAGAGAUGAAAAUAAUGCUGUUAAUUAGAUUUGGGGUUGUUGGAGGGUAAAAUUGUCAUUUUACAUAAUAGGUAGUAUUAACGGAUUUCAGUAAUGCAAGAUACACGAUCCCCCUCUCGUUAAUAUUUUCGAUGUAAUCCUACUCGAUUUGUAAUGCUAUAUUAACGACUAGAUUAUAUAGCGGAUUAACCAAACACAGUUAUCCUGGCAGGAUUGCCUGUAAUCCUGCUAGGAUAACUCCAACCAAACGCAUCCUUAACGAUAUGGAUCGUUAAUUUCGAAGCUCUAUUAUUGAAAACAACUUAUGAGUAGGAAAGCGAUCGUACUCGUAAAGUAUAGUAUAGCGGGACUCUCUCUCUCUCUAUAUAUAUAUAUAUGUUACGAAAAUUCAAAUAUGUUACGUACCCUUACGAGCCGUAAUAUAAUGAUACGUUAACUAACAUACUAUUCCCAUGUAUUGUUGAUUUAUUUAUACAAUAGAGGGGCACCCAAAGCAUGACCCUUGUUUAAACAGAUAAUACUAUAAUUAGCAUAUUUAUUCAAGGAAAUGGUUACUUUUACUCAAAAAAAUUGUAUAAAUAAUAAUUAAAUAAAUAUAUGUAAAUAUAUCAUGGAACGCGUAAUGCAUGCACUUUUAAGCUGGACCGUGUGGGGCCAUUUAAUUUGUGGUAGGGGUUUUGGCUUUUACUUCAUUAAAUUGUGAUCAUGUGUCUCUUUGUAUCAUACCAUAAAGUUAGGGUUGGGAAUGGUGUGACAAUGAACCAUUUUUUUGCCCACCAUGCAUGGCUUUGCCCUAGCUUAGCAAAUGAAGAUUUUUUCUAGUAAUGGACACACACUUUGCUUUCUUGAGGACCUUCCCCAUGUGAUGAGAGGGGCUUUCCACUUGUCGCACUGCUUUUGCUUUCAGCAAUAAUUUUUAUUAGAACUGAGAUUAAGUAUAUCUAAAAGUGUAACGCUUUUGCUGCAUGAGAAACUAAAGUGAGACAGUUUAAAUGGCAGAAACUUCGAUUUAGUGGUCGGUUGUGGUUCAAUUAUUUAGAACGGUUGUUAAAAAGAUUUUAAUAUAGUGGUUUCACAGCUAGGAUAGUUCUUUUUCAAACGAUAUUGUUUAGUGAUGAGAGAAAAACUCGACAUAUUUACCAACGUCGCAACUGCAUAAGAAGUGAUAGCUAUUAUAGAAAUUUAUGGAUUAUAACUUCGAUUUUGUUUCUUCUUUUCAUCUUUUGAAUCUUUUUUAAGAUUAUAUGUAAAAUAUAUGACUAAAAUAGAUAUAUAAUUAGGGAUUUCAAUUGAAGAGAGCGAGAGAUGCCUAUUAACUAUUUUAUUAAGGGAUUUAAUUGACAAAAUUGAAAGUUUAGGCUAAACAAUUGGGGGAAUUCUAUACAUCUUUUCCUUAUUUUAAGAGACGGUUGUCAAAGUUUAUGCAAUGAAAGCUUAUUCUAAAUAGCAGAAACUACAAUAUAAUUAAUACAUCUGAAAAUUUAGAAAGUGAAGUAUGAGAAAGGCGUAGGCUAAUUGAGUCAUAGUAUAGUAUACCGUUGAUAUUUAGAACAGUUCACUGGUAACCUCAUCUUUAGAUGUUAAGUAUUGAGGUUUCAUUCUGUUAUAUGCGAAAAGAGUGCAUGCGUGUACCCUUCGAAAAGAGGUCAAGUAUAAUACAUUUGAAAAUUCAGAAAGUAAAGUACGAGAAACAUAUAGGAUAUAUAAUUAAGUCACUGUAUCGAAUAUCAUCGAUAUUUAGAGCAGUUUACCGACAGCCUUCUCUUUAGAUAUAUAUUAGGUCUCGAGUUUUUAUUCUGUUACGUGUGAAAAGAGUGUGAGUAUGUGCACCUCGAAAAGGAGGUCAAAUGCCUUGAACUGGAAAGUGAGAAUAGCUAUUCUCUCUUGCCCACUAUUCCACAUUUCUAAUUCUAUGCUUAUCUUCUACUCUGCUCCAUAUAUAGAGAAUAACUUAUUCUUAUGCAAGAUCUCAUUUUAGUAAGAAACAAAACAAAUUAAACCCAGGAGAUCGAAUCACGUACAUUGUCCCACACAAUCAAUGAGGCUAAUUAAUUUGUUGUAACUUGAUGCUCGAACUUUUAAAAUUAUUGUAAUUAAGUUCUGCAGUCUAAUUUAAUUGACUAGAUAUUAAUAUAUUAUUAAUACAAUAGUAAUGUAAUAUCUUAAUUAUUAUAACAUCGUCAACUAUAUAUAGCGUUACUUCCUCAGAACAAAAGCGUCACGUUCCUCAUAGUGUGAGAACCAAAAAUAUAAUUUAGCCAAAUUAAUGAUGAUGAUUAAUAUUUAACACUCUACCUUGAGAUAUAUCCCUAUUAACUCGCCAUUAAUUGCUUAUGUUCCUUCAUUAUUAUUAUUAUUAUUAUUACUUAAAGAAUAAAACUCCAACACCUCACCUUAUCCAUGAACGCGUGGAAUAAAUCUCCCUUGUUCAUUUUUUUUUUGGUUUUUAACACCUUGCAUUAAAUUCCUCACAGCUUGAUCUGUCUCCCCAACCAACCAUCUUAAAUGGCUCGAACCCAAGCUCGUGGUAGGGUCACAUCAACACGAUUUAUUUUUUUUUGAAACAAUAGAAUAAUUUGUUUCUCUUAUUAAAUGAUAUUUUGUCCAUUGGGAUUAUACUUGAAUCUAAUUUUGGAUUGAGCCAAGUGGGAGUUGUUGUUCCCUUUAUUGAUGUGUCUAGUUGAUUUGAUAGUACACUUGAGAUUUCAUAAAGGGGGAGAGAUUUGCUUCAUAAUUGCGUGAUUUAUAGAAGACUUAAUUAAUUCUCACCAACAUUAGAUAUAGUAGUUAAUUUGAUCAGAUGCUAUUUAAGAGCAAAAGAAAAAUGAAAAAGAUAUUGACAUAUAUAUAUUUUUAAUUGAAAUUAAUCAAAUUUACAAAUUAGAAACUCAUUGAAGUGGUGAAAUGCCCUAGUUAGUAAAUUCACGAAUUAUUCUCGAAUUAUUGAAAAUUCAAAUUAAACGGUCCGUUUACGAAUUUUUUCGAAAGAAAGAGAAUUAUUCACGAAUUUUUGGGCCAGCCGAAUUAUUCGCGAAUUAUUGCGAAAUUUUUAAAAAUAUGAAUAAAAAACUUAUAAUUUUAUUUUUAAAUAUAAAUUAUUUUAUAUUUUAUAUCUUAUAUUUUAUAUUUUAUACCAAAUUCAUUUUUUAAGUCGAAUUUUUCAACAAAUUUAAAAAUUAGAAAAUAAAUUUUAUACGUAUUAUAUCUGUACCGAAUUUUUGCCGAAUUCGAAUUAACUAACUAUUAUGUUUUACCUUGUGAAUUGUGAAAAGCAUUUUGAGCCAUAAAUGAGCCUCAAAAGAACACCCUUUUAGGGCACUCUUUCAUCUGAAUUAAUAAUUAAUUUGAGUGGGAAUCCAUGCAUGCACUAUCAUUGUAUUGAUAAAUUACGUCGCUCGAGGAAUGAGAUGCUUUUCACGAAAUUUGAUGCUCAAUCCUUUUGAGAGAGGAAUUAAUAUUAAUAGGAUUUUCUUUUCUUUUUUUUUUUUUUUUGUAUAUUGUUGAUGACUCAGCAAUUCUAUUCAUCAGAAUUUGAUAAAAUCUUUCGGGUAUCCAAAGUAUUAUUACAAAAAGUGAAAACGGUGGCUUUAUUUUGUUGAUACGUGAAAAUAAACAACCGUUAAAAUAUCUGAUCGGCAUUCAGUGACGGGCUUUAAAAGGUUCCGUGAUCAAACUCAAAACCUUUUACUGUACUUAGGCUAUAGCAUCGUUUGAGAUUGUGAGAAGAUUAGAUUACAAGUGGUGAGAAAAUUCGAUAACAAAAUACUCUGCUGUUCUUGUACACAAUACCGUGUUCUGCAUAUUGCAGUGAGUCAGUUAAAAUAUAAUUUUACUAUCCCACCGUAGAAUAUAGAAGCAUAUUUUUAUAUAUUUUUGCGUUAACUUUAUUUUAUCUAGUGUUAGAUGAACCUUAAUACCGAACGGGCCCUUAAUCCAGGAUUUGGAAUCAGUUUUCUGAUGGGCCAUUGGACUUGUUUUAAAACAAAUUUCAGAUGUUUUGGAUAUGAGUGGCCCGUUUGGGCCCAUUAGGCUUGGCCCAUUCACAUAAUUGUUGAGCAAAUAUGGGUGGUUUCAAAUUAACUAAAACGUUAGGGGCUUAUGUGAAAACUUGGUAGGUCUAGAAUGUCGUACGGUAUAUACACUUGUACCUGUAACUCGCUGUACGCUGUGCGUCGGAAGACUCUGGAUCCUUCCAUCAAAUCCAUCUAAGGCGCUCGAUCUACCGUCCGAUCGUAAAUGGACGGUCACGAACGCGUCAAUAUUGUCACAUAGCACCACCCCUUCCUCCUCCCCUUCACAAUUAACAACUCUCUCUCUCUCUCUCUCUCUCUCGUCUUUCUCGCUCUUCACCCACCCCCCCAAAUCCCGAGAAGCGUCCGAUCCCGAUCGCUCCUCCGCCCUCGGAUCGAUCACCGCCGUCCAAGGCCCCUCCUCGUCGGAGAUCGGCGACAGGUUCCCCCUCUAUUUGCGAUCUCGAUUCGUUGUUAGCGUUAUCAUCUGAAUCCAUGUGAGGACAAUUUCUUGAAUCGGCUUUGCCCUAGAUUCUUAUACCUCUCGUUCGUUUCAUUUUCUCUUUUGAAUCGCAUGUGUAAUGCGUAAACUUUGGAAAAAUUGUAUUUAGAGUGGGAAUUGUGUGCUUCUGUUAGGGUUUCUUCAAGCAAUUUGUGUUCUUUUUGAUUACUACGAAGGAUAUACUCUUAAAACUCUGCGAAUUUGGGUCUAAAUGAGGUUCGAUGUUUAAAAUUUAGUCUAUUUUGCAGAAAAAUUGAGAUCAAAUAGGGGUUUUGAGGGGUUACUUGGAGGGUUAAAGUUGUGGCUUUUGUUCACGGGACCGGAUAUUGUCAAUGGCGGAGAGGGGUUGUGUUAAGCGCCUUCAAAGGGAGUAUCAUGCCCUAUGUAAGGUAUGAUCAACUCUUUUUCCAUGCGAUUACUUUUGAUUAUUUUAAGGCUUUACAGUUUUAUUUUGCAAACCCUAGAUGGAAUCUCGACCAAUGACCAUAACGUGGGUCGGACUCUCUGAACUCUGUGGAAAGCAGGGUUUUACAAGCUUUACUUUUAUAAAUUUAUGCACUUCUGCUUGUUUUAGUUGCAAUUCACCACCUUUUUGAUAGGGAUCGGUAAUUUUUUAGUUAUAGCCUUCCGUUUUGGCGUAAGGUUGUGCUUUUCUUUUGCGAAAUGUUCAUGGAAUUUGACAAACGAACCCUAACGUGCAUCACACUUUCUGAAAUUUGCGGAAAACUGAAUUGUACAAGUUUUAUGCUUAUAAGUUUUUGCACUCAUGCCUUGUUUUAGUAGUAGUGCAGUACCUUUUGAUGAGGUGCUAUGCUUUAUGCUUCUAUUUGAAUAAUGUUACUUCAUCAUUUGCAAUAUUUGCAGGAGCCGCCACCUCAAAUUGUUGCUCGUCCUUCUCCUAGUGAUAUUCUUGAUUGGCGUACGUAUGCUCUUUCAUGAUUCCCCAUAUGCUUUCCAUCAUUGUUCUUGCCAUUCAGAUAUGUAUUUGUAGUUUUGAAAUUAUAUACACAUCAAGAUUCAAGUAUCCUUAUUUGAGAUUUUAGAGGUUCGAGUUCUAAGAUUGCUUGUGUAAAGUUUGAUAUGACGGUUGGUUGUAAGCUUGGUAUUGCAAAUAUUUUUUUUUGUGUGAAACUCAGUAUAGUUUUACCUGUGCUUUUAUUCUUAGAAGCCUUCAGACAGAAAUACUGCUUAGAUAUUCUUGUCACCUUUCAAAUUGGUGCAUCUUGAGCUGUUCUUUAAUUUUAAGUGGAACUCAUUAUUCCUUCUUCUCUCUCUCUCUCUCAGAUUUUGUUCUUGAAGGAAGUGAGGGCACACCAUUUGCAGGUAAAAUAGGGAACAUAUGUCAAGUCCAAGGUCUAAAUCAUUGGUUUCAAUUUUUUCUCCACAUUGAUGCUUCCUUUCGACAAAUUUGUGAACUCUCGAUUUGGUUUAACCUGUUGACGAGAAGAGUCUUAAGGUUUUCUUCAAAGGAAAUCACAUUUUCAACCUAAUUAUUGUAUUUGAUUGAAAAGGAUGCUUUUUGGUCAAAAUUUAUGGAAACCGGCUGAAAGUGGGCAAAGAUGGCUCAAACCGUGAAUUUCGAAAUGCUAAAUGUCCCAAAAUUUUACAUUAGUUUUGCUUGGAACUAUCAAAUUUCAGCUGAAACUUAAAUCCUUUUAGUAUAUUGCAGUAAAUGGUUGUGAAUUUUCAGAUUAUUGCCAUUUUUCUUACUUGGUGUUAUGUGUUAUUUAUUGGUGUCCUCGCGGUAGCUUUUUUUAAUUAAAUUUGUUGUUAGCAGAAAUACAUACUUUCAUUUUGCUUUGUUUUGAAAGUUCACAUGCUUGACUGUAUAUAUAUGUAUUUUUUGUUGAUUGGCAAUGAAGGUGGGUAUUACUAUGGAAAACUUAAAUUUCCACCCGAUUAUCCAUUCAAACCUCCCAGUAUCAGGUAAUAUUCCGUACACCUGUUUUAUUGUAAAUAAUGUUAUUUUAAGUUCUUCCACUUUUCUAAUAUAAUUUUUCUUGGCAUUUCUCUCUGGGUUAGUAUGAUUACUCCCAAUGGACGAUUUGCCCCUCACAAGAAAAUAUGUUUAUCAAUGAGUGAUUGUAAGUAUGAACAGUAUUGCAUGUUUGUUAAUCUGGUGUGUUAUGGAACUUGUAGACCUAAUUUUGUUUCUCCUUUCAUUCAGUUCAUCCGGAGUCUUGGAAUCCAAUGUGGUCUGUAUCAAGGUAAGAGUAACUAAUGAAGUUUGUGUAUAUGUAUCUCGAUAUGUGUAAAGUUUUGCUUUUUACAAUCACAAAUAUCUUGUCUCAUGAUUCUGACUUCUAUUUGUUGAUGCAGCAUUCUCACGGGACUUCUGUCCUUCAUGGUGAGUUUCUUUUCUCAUCACCUCUGUUGGCUUUAACCAGACCAACAUCUUUAAAGCAUGGGUACAUGUAUAUUAUACCUUUCCAUCUUGAUUUAUUAUGUAUUGGUAAGAGUGUGUUAUCUUUGGCCGGGAUGUAAAACUUGUGUCAUUUUAUUCCUACCUUUAUCCUUUCAUUCUGUUUGCAGCAUCUGAAAUGAUAAUAGUUACGAUUUUUCAGCUACUUACAUUUAGAGCCCUGAUUUGUAUAAAGGCUGCUGUGACAUGCACCGUAGCUCCAAAAAGUUGGGAGUUGGAACAGAUCUUAGAGGAGUUCUAAGCAGAGGUUCUUGUACAGAGUUUUUCAUUCAAGUCUGAGAUGUUUGGUUAGAACGUUUCCGUGGUUUGAGAAAUCUAUUGUGGUUCUGUUGGCAGAGUUAAGGACUGAAAGACUUGGGACAUAAUUUUUUGAAUUCUUUGUCAAGACAAUCAUUACUCCCUGAAAGAAACCCUGGAUUGAAUUGAAGUGUCUUCAAGUCUAGCAUCAUAGAACCACAGCCAAUGCUUUUUAUUGAAAAUCUGUUUCUUUCAGUACUAUUAAUACAGAUGAAAUAUGAAGAACCUGCUCUCUAUCUUUCUCUGUAUCAAAUUAUUGAUUUCCUGACUUUUCAUUCUGAUGCUUGUGCAUAUAGAUGGAUGAUGGUCAGACCACUGGUAGCAUUAGGACAUCAGAUGAUGAGAAGCGGCGAUUAGCUAAGGAUUCACUUGCUUACAACUGUGAGAGGUAAAUUCUUUCAUCUUAAUAUUUAUUUGUUCCAUGAUGUGUCUUGAUACUUUCAUAGCUCUCUAUGGCUUUUCUUCCUAUUAUUACCUAAACAUGUAAUGUACAUGUUUCUGAGAGGUCAAUUUCAUUUAAUGCUGUCUCCUUGCAUAUUCAUGCUAAUAUAUGCACCAUGACAUGCCUUGAUAUUUGUACUUCUGUACAAGUUUUCCUUCAGGUAAUUGUCACGCACUAAAUAAUAAGUAUAAGAAGAAUAUUUCAUUUUAAUAUGCGUGAGAUUGUAGGUCUUUAGAAAGGCAAUCACAUUUUUAAUGCUGUAUCUUGCUUUAUUAAACCAUCAUAAUUAUGCUACUUGCAGAAUAUUAUAGUGGCUAGGAGAAAUUUGAGGUUUGUUUAUUCUCUUUGAUGGGUGUUAUUCUACCCCAUAGGUAGCACUUUCUCGCAUGCAAUCAAUUUAGUUUUGUUUCAUUUUCAAACAUUUUCAGUAUUUGAUUGAACUAAAAGUAAAGUGGCAAAAAGGCAAAAAUUGUUGAUUUCAGCUGAGGAUGAAAUAAUAUUCGGUGAGAUAAAAUCGUAAUCUGGGUGAUGCUAUUCGAAUAAAAUUGCAGUUUAGCCAUGGCAUAAAGGGUGCCUUGCCUUUCUUUCUUGGCCUAAGUUACUCUGUAUUAAAGGAAAUAUAAGUUGGUAACGAACACCCCCUGUCGGAAGAAGUGAGUCAAUGAAUCUUCCUUAAUGAAUCUUCCUUUCUUUACACAAUAGGUGAAGUGCAUAUGAUGAUGCAUUAAGCUUGGUUGAGUUAUGUAUUUUUAAGCGUCCAAUUCAACCUAUAAAUUGUGGAUAAUUGAUUGAUUGCAAUGUAUCAUCCGAUGCAUCACAUUCUGUGUAAUAUCUCUCUAUCAUAGAAGCGCCUAGCAGACUGACGUUUCUAUGUGCCAUAACUUAUCUUGCAACUAAAAUGUUAACGUAACCUUUCACCUGUCGGAAUCAACAGCAAAAACUGCCCGAACUUCAAGAAGCUGUUCCCGGAAUACGUAGAGAAGUACAGAGAACAACAGGUGCCAGAUCACCAUCCCAUGCCACCGCCGGUGCUUCCGGAGAAUGCGGCACCCCCUCCUCCCCCCGCAGUCGUGCGAGCUCCGGUGGUUGCGGACGAAGAUAGGCGAGUACUAAACAACAAUAACGCUGGCAAGAGGAGGCAGAAAACGCAAGUGCCCUUUUGGCUUCUGCUUCUGUUGAUAUCGGUGUUCGGCGUGGUAAUGGCCUUGCCCCUGCUGCAACUCUGAUAAUGCCCUCUGCCCUCCGCCCUCCGGAUAGUAAUAUCUUAACGGCGGGGAGAACGUUUUUCAGUACAAAAUUACGGAUCCCUAGAUUUGUCUACCUGCAGAAUUUUGUAUAGUUAGUUCGUUCUGGAGUGGUCGAACCUUGUGCUCGCCUUCGUUGGGUUUGUAUCUCAUCUUGACGAACUCAGAUGAAAUAUGUCAACCGCCUUCCUUAAUCUUUCGUCUCUCCGAUUAGCUGCAUGAUGGAACUGCUUUUUUGUCGACUUUUCUUCGAGUAUCGUUACUAGUGCCUUCAUAUUGAGUUGUCAAGAUCUAUCAACUACCUCAUUAAGAAUGCUGUAAUUCAAAUUUGUUCAGAUUGGGUAAUUAUGAAUUGCGGAGUGCGAAGCCCUUGCAGUUAUUCACGGUGAACGCAAACAUUUGAAUUGUGUGUGGCGUGUUAUCAGGGAAUCCGUAAAUAAAAAUUUGGACCUGCAAUGUUGAGGUAUCUCCACAAACACAUCCUGGGCAUAAGAACUUAAAAAGUUGCAGCGCGAUAAAUGGCGGAUCGAUCGGCGUUACGAAGGAGACCGACCAUUUUCAUCAAAUUUUUAUCAAAAUUAAAUUUUGUGUGGUAAACAGUGAUAGAUCAUCCAUUACGGAAUAAAUUUAAAACAAAUUAUGCGCAAUAAUACAAGCUUAUAAUAGGAAGCCAAAAGAAGGAAAUAAAUAAAAGAAAACCUAGCUGUACAAUUUUGCAUCGACUGCUGCUACUACUGCUACAUCUCUCGCAGUCGAUUCCUCCUCUUUUUGAAUCAAAAUAAUCGACCAAAAAAACCAAAAAAAAAUUUCAAAAAAAAAAAAAAAUGAAAAUAAAAGAAAAUAAAAAAUUCUGGCGAUCGGCGAGCAACCAAUCCGUCUCAGAACCCCCUCAUCAACAUGCACAUACUAAUAGUAAUAUUAUUAUGUUUUUCCGGAAUAAAAAUCCCAUCUUUUUCCCCCGAACCUCUCCCUUCCUCCUCCCCGGAAACCCUAAUCCUAACCCUAACCCUAGCUCGUCGGCGUCCUCGGCGUCCUCGGCGUGGCCGCUCCUCCGACGGUACCCUGCUCGAUGUCGCCCCCUCUAGGGCUACACGACGACCCCAUCGCCUGUUUCCCACGGCUCAGCAGCCUCCUCAGCGACCUCAGCCUCGCCGAGCUCGGCGGCGGCGGCGGCGGCGACUUCAUCUCCUCCGCCGACAUCCGGCUCACGGGCAAUGGCGAGAUCGGCGAGGGCGGCCCCCCCAUGGCGCGCCUCGGGAUCUCGAUCACGAGCUCCCUAGUCCUCGACGACGAGGGCUCGGACGAGCUCGGCGAGUUCCCCGCGUUGAUCCGAUCCUGCGUGCCCCAGAAGAGCACGUUGGUGGGGAAAAUCGGCGGCUCCGCGGGCUCCGGCGCCGGGGCUCGGGCGGAUUCGGCGCCGGCCUCGGCGGGGCUCGGCGAGGACUCGNUUGGGCAGGAGCCGCGCCUCCUCCCCCUCCGCCACCUCGCACAGGCACACGGCGCACUCCAGCGCCUCCUCCUCCUCCUUCCCCGCCCCCGCGCCUCCGCCCCCGCGGCGCCCGACGACGACGACCGGGAGCGCGGCGAGGGCGGCGGGGUCGAGGCCGCGGCGCGCGGGCGCGCCCCCCCCGAGGUCGGCUGCGAAGACGAGGCGCGUCCCGGAGCGGCCGCGGCGGAGGGGGUUGGGGCCGAGGUAGCGCCUCGCGUAGAGGUAGAGGAAGAAGACGAACACCACGACCAUGAACAGGAACACGAUCGCCGCCACCAGGAUCUCGCUGCUUAUCGUCACCGCCGGGGACGGCUCUCCCGCCAUCUCCGGCACCGUCGGCACCGUCGGCAUCGUCGGCACCGUCCUCAUCGUCGGCAUCGUCGGCAUCGUCGGCCGCGGGAUUACCAUCGCCUGCCGCGACAUCGCCGGUGCUUCGCUCAAGCCAAAAAAGGUGCGAUUUUUACCGACCCCUUCCCCUUCAAAAUUGGAUUUUUGUGAUCGAUCUCACUCAAAAGGCUCGUAAAAAAUUUGGAUUUUGAGACGUUGGUUACUCGAAAGAUUGGAUUUUUGGGUGCGGGUCUCUCACCAAAUCGAUCGAUCUAUCACAAUUUGUCGAGAUCUCGUAUUGCAUACCUCGAAUUAUGCUGCAAAAAAGCUUCGUGUUUUUACGCAAUGGAGAGAGAGAGAGAGAGAGAGAGAGAGAGAGAGAGUACCCCUCGCUCUUUUAGUUGGGGAAUUUUAUAGCCUAAAAAGAAGGGGAUUUUAGAGAGAGAGGGAGAGAGAGAGAGAGAGAGAGAGAGAGAGUUAGAGGGAGCAGGAGAGAGGAAGGUGAGCAAACCAAACUGAGAGAGUGACGUUGAUAAUGAUCGGAUGGGAGUGAUCAAAUGCGUCAACAAAGAUGACUUUUUUUGGGUUUGGUUUUGUUUUUGGUUUUGGUUUUUCAUUUUCUUUUUUCUUUUUUCUUUUUUGUGGAACUUAAGAAGCGUUCAAAGGGGCUGCGGAGACCAGUGAGAAACGAAAGGGGAGAGAAGUUCAUAGUUUGAAUUGUUUUAUGCUAAUAUUACUAAAAGUACUUCUCAAAAUAAAUAAAUAAAAAGUAUACAAAGUAUGCUUUGGUUGCUUCUUCUUUCCUCUUUUUGUUCUUAAUGUAUGUUUUCUCUGUGGACUCGGUAUUUGACACGGCUCCAAAAUCUAUAAUUUGAAAGAGAUAUUCUAAUUUUUGACUGGGGAAUGUUUUGUAUACUAGGCACCGUUUGAUUUGGACAUAAACAAGAAUUAUUAUAGAGAUAGAUACAAAUAUGGGAUAAAAAAAAUAACGUUUGGAUAAAAAUUGAAUUAUUUCCGGAGAUAAAAAAAAAAUAGCAUUUGGAUAGAUAGUAUGAAAUAAAAAAAAUAAUAAAUAAUUAUAUAUAGAAAAUAGAGGUGUUGGUAAGAAUAGUUAUACCAAUUUAUUUCAGGUAUCCGAUAAUUACUAUUCUCAGAUAAAAAAUUAGCGUUAGGGUUACGUUUUGUUCACCGUAAAUUAAACUGAAAAAUUAUUUUCACUAUAAAAAGUAUUUUCGCUUGUUUGAUUUUGAAAAAAGGUUAAUUUUUUUAUUUUUUUGCUGUUUUUGGACGAAAACGAGAACUCAGACUGUGUAAAAUUUUUUAUUUAUUUUUCUGUUGAAUCAAAUAAAUAUGAUUUUUUUUUCCAAUCAAACAAAUAUCAAUGCAAAUUUAUUUUUUUCCCUAUAAAUCAGACAUUACAAAAUAUAAAAUUUUUGUUUCACGAAAAAUUAUUUUUCACGAUUUUACGUUAAACCAAACAGAUCAUUACAUGGAUUAAAAACAACAUCAUCUACGCAUCCUAAAUUUCAUAAAAGUUUAAUUUUAUUAUUUUUAGCAUUAUUUAUUUAGUAAUAAGGUGAUUUUAAAUAUAUCUUACACAUAUAGUUGAAAUUUAUAAAUUUUGAGAUAAUAAUAGCAAUAGAAUCAUAUUGAAAUAGUACGAAAUUUAAUUUUUCAAUUCGUAUUUAAUCGUGUCGAUCGUCGAUUCGCAUGACCCUUCAUUAGAUGCAAUAAAAAAAGUAUCAAAAAGUUGGUACUUCUAAAAAUAUUUUAGCAUAUAGCUAUAUAUAUUAUUUUAUUUUAUUAUUAAAAAAUAUUAGAUUUAAUGUAUGAACUUAUUGUAGAUUUAUUAAACUUGUUAAUUCUCUUCUAUGAAAAGCUAAUCGAACUCAUCUGAUAUAUUCUAUCAUUAACAAUUAUAACACUGCCAAUAUGGUUACACUAACAAGUUACAAAAUAAGAUCAAAUAUUUUGUUUAUUUAUUAUGUAUCAUAUUUUAGAAGUUCGUGCAAUAUAUCUACGUAUUUCAUAUGUAUUUAUCUUUACUUAAUACCCCAUCAACAUCUUUUAGUUUUUUACUAUUAAAUGUUUUCCAACUUUACAUCAAAGCCCAAAACAAUAAAUAAAUAAAAUAUACUACUACCAUUUUGUAUAGUUGAGUGUUACCAUGCAUGCUCAUCUAAGCAAAAUAUGCAUGUCAUUUAUAUUAAUUAAUUAAUUAUACUCCACAACACAAGGGAUAAAAAGUAGGUCGUUAUAGGUGGUAGUUUGUUUGUUGGUGUGAUAGGUUUUCUUUUUAAUUCAUAAAGAUCGAAGUAUAAAAAUCUAGUGACUGAUAUUUUUUUAAAAUUUUUUUAUACUAACCAUAAAGCCAUUUUCAAAUAUUUUAAAAUCACCAAAAAUAAACUAGAUUCAUACAUUUUCCUCUGCUUCGUGUACAGCAAUAUAGUACUCUUUUUAUUAGAUUAGAAUCAUGUUGUUUAUUUGAUUACAAUAACUAUUAUUAUAUUUUAAAUAUCUUGUCAGAUUAGGAGUAUGUUUAAUAUUUAAUUUUUAAUCAUAAUAUGAUUACUAUCCUACAAUUAUAGAAAUUCUUUUGGUUUAUUAUUGUUGUUUUUUUGUCCUUUCCUCCUCAAAGCAUGGCUCCAAUUUUCAGAGGAUUUUGACCUUGUGGAUCCAUUUCUCACGUACAGUCCCCGUGAAUGGUGGUGGUAACUAUUCUUCAAUUAUGUCAUAUUAUUAUCAUGAGAUUAUUUUAAGUGGUGAUUGGACCUAUAUUUUCACCAAAUUUCGUACGUGCUAAUACCCCUACUUUUCUUUAGCAAAAUGCUUUAGAUUCCACAAAAGAUUCUAUACAACAUUACUAACAUGUUAACACACUCGCGCACUAUAUUUGACGCACUUUUAAAAUCUUAUAUAAGUAUUUCAAGAUCAGGAUUUAAUUUAUUAUAUAUGUUUUACUAUGUUGAAAAGAUAACACAUACCAAAAAAAUUAAAUCGUAUACUCCUAUUUCUUACGAUGUGAAUGGAAUUAUUAUUUGUUUUCCGUAUCAUUAAUUUUUAGAAUUGUUCGAUGCUGAGGUAAUAGAUCUUAAAGCCGUAUAAUUAAUUAUCUGUAAAGUCACAUAAUCGUGUCAACCAGUGGGGUCUAAAUCUGGGACUUAAUGAAAAAAAAAAAGAAAAAAGAAAGAGAGACAAAAAAAAAAAAAAAAGAAAGAAGAAGAAAAGACAAGAAAGGCACUGCCAGCCAAUAAGGAGACCGACGACCACAAAAGGCGCGGAGCCGAGCAGGACCAAAACCAAAACAUGUUGACUCUUUUUCGGGUAUUAUUAGUCACACAAAUAUUCAAUAAUUGUACCGGUGCUCAUUUAAGUUACCCUUCCGUUUCCUAAUUUCAAAGCAUGGGUUAGAAUAGUACUCAGAGAGAGAGAGAGAGAGAGAGAGGGAGAGAGAGAGAGAGAGAUGCAUCACAUGCAGAUAAAUAUUAUUGAAAACACAGUUGUUUGUAAAAAGCAAUAUUUUCCAUGAUGGUACUAUUAUAAGGAACUAGGCUACUAUACUAUUAACAGCACAAAAUCAUUAGUACUAUCAAAUUUUUGGCCAUUAGGUUAAGAAAUAUGCGGUUAAGAUGAUGUGAGCUCUCUAGGGUUGAGUAGGUGGUUUGUUGAAUAAUAUGAUCUAACGGAUGAAAAUGAUCAAAAGGAUAGAUCUAACGGCGAAAAAUUUGGUAGCACCAAGUGCUUCGUGCUAUUAAUAGCAUAGUAGCCGGACUCCUAUUAUAAGACUAGGGCUACUAUACUUUUAUAAGUAUAGACACUUUUAUACUCAUAAAUUUUCGACCGUUGGGUGAAAAAAUGUACGGUUAGGAUAAUAAUGACCCGUAAUUAAGAUGAUAGUAAUCGGGUAGGAUUGAGUGGGUGAUUGUUUGAACAGAAUGAUCUAACGAUUGAAGAUGAUCAAAAUGAUAGAUCUAAUAGCUAAAAGUACAAAGAAAAUCUAUACUCGUAAGAGUAUUAUAGCAGCCGGACUCCUAUUAUAGAUCAAAGGGCUAAACAUUGAAGAGCAUACACUAUUCGUAUGCUUCUCAGAGCAUCCGAGAGGGAAUAGGCUUUCACUAGAUAAAUUCUGGGAGCACUUGAAGAAAAUAAGAUUUGUGUUGUAGUGCCUACAAGACAGGAUUUGGCUUUCAGUAUGACCAAAGGCAAACAGAUCAAAUGUGAAAAUAUGCUCAAGUGCUUUUCAGUGGAACUACAAAAAUCAUAUUAUGUAAACUGAACUCUUAUCCUGAACUAAUCAGGAAAGAUACAUGAAUCAAGCUCAGAACCUCAUAAAACAGAAGGGAAUGAAGAAUGACUCAAAAGCGUACGGUAUUAUUCAAGAACUAAUCUGGACAAUGGUUGAAGCUGCAACUUCUUUGUGUAUGAAGGCAUAGUCAUCUUCCCACUUAAUUCAUACUUUUGCCGUGCGUGGUUUCCUUCUUGGGUCUCUGAAAGCAAGCAGAAAAGCUUCAAAGCUUGGGAAACAAGUUAGUAGACUAAUCCCGAAGACUUUGAAUAUAAUUUAACAAUAGACUUGUACUACUCUCACUACUAAUUAAGGCGACACAUCUAACACGGUUUCUUUAUAAAAGCCUCGAAUUGAAAAGGAACUUAAUAUGAAGCAACACCGGUGGACGAAAAUAGUAAGUCUGAUACUUCUGCUGCAUCGGAAAGCUAAAUUAGCUUCUAAAACAAAAGUUGCUACCACAACAAGAACAUAAUUGCCGAAUACUGCAACUAAAAUGAACAUGUGGAUUUCUUUUCACCUUUGCCGUAAAUUCUCAUAAACAACACCUUCAUUCAUGCAUCUACGAUGGACAAAUCAAAUAUGCCUCUGGAAAAUUAAACAGCAAGCAGAGAAAAUAAGGGCGUGACAAUCUAAAUUAGAUGACAAACAAAAAAAAAAUAGAAUAGGUAUUCAAUAGUUGAGCUAGGACUGUUAAGUGAUGCAUGUAAAUUUGAGUUUAGAAACACAAAUAGCGAGACAUAUAUAUAUAAUUCAGUUCCUCAGGAAAGAAUAAAACUAGUAACGAGAAAUGUUUCUCGAUAACCAUUUGUUUAACUUGCAACCAGAUGACCGCCUGAAUUCUGCAGAAGUAUACCGUAGAAAUAAAAAUAACUAACAGAUCAAUCGGCAUCCUAUCAUCUUUCUGACAUAAACACAAACAAACAAACAGGAGAACAUAAACCAUGGCAAAUACUGGGAUCUUUCAUCAAGAUAAAGAAUCAUCCAAUUUCUGAAAAGAGCCACUACUUUUUCUCGCUCAAGCACACCAUAGUCUAAAUCUAUGGAUGAGAAAAGAAAAGGCAUUGGUCACUGGGAAUUUGGGAUCCUGCUUGUAUAAAGAUGCAUAUUACCAGGUAGAAAAUCAUAUGCCAACAUUACGGUGAUAUUUCCUUCCGAGAUAUGAGUAACCGGAGCUGUGCUGUUAGUUGUAGACCAUGUAUUUGGGCGUUGCGCUGAACUUCUGAUAACCCUUAAUAACCUUAUUCACUGCAUCAAGAAAGUCCUUUUCGGUUACCGUCUUCCUGCGUGCCCGGAUUGCAUACAUCCCGGCUUCGGUGCACACACUCCUUAUGUCCGCCCCUAAUAUAAAGAAAUACAGGAAAUAGUUAGAAACUUGUGAAGAACAAAUAGAGCAAUUUUGAUGUUUGUCCAAGUAAAAUAGACCGUAGAAAAACAUAUAACACCAAGCAUCUAAGUUCCAAGCAUUCAGACCGGCUUUUACUUUUAAAGAAAAGGAGAAAAAAAUGUGUAGCGGAGCAUAGUAACUUGUAAAGUAAAAAAGUACAGAGCUACAUCAGUUAUAGCACAUUUUAAAGUAGGUGCCUGAACUUCUAAAAUUUUGACAUAAACUAUCAAAGAACUUUCCGACUUCAAAGAACUUUUCGACUUCAGAAAAUUCUACCUGAGUUUUGUCAAAACUUAAAAAAGGAUUUUGUCAAAUUGGUUAUAGAAUAUUUUAUCAAGUAAGAAAUUAUCCCAUUAGAUUAUAAAAUACCCACCAAGUUUUGAACAAGAGGUACUCACAUCAAAAGAACUACAAGUUUAGAUGGUAAAUUAACAACUUUAAGUUCAGGUAGGUAAGAUCUGUUCAAUUUUGCUUAAUUGUUAGAUGGAGUAUUAUCAAGACAAACCCCUUAUACUAUUGAAAUGAGGUAAAGAAACACUUCAGUAAAUGCUCACCAGUGGAGUUAGGGCAGAGGCGAGCAAGAAGCUCAAAUCUGAUGUCCCUUUCGCAAUUCAUUGUUUUUGUGUGGAUCUUGAAUAUCUUUGUGCGACCUUCCAAGUCUGGCAGACCAAACUCAACCUUACGAUCCAAUCUUCCCGGACGGAGUAAAGCUGGGUCCAAAGUGUCAGGCCUGAAAAGUUUUGGAAAGAGAGGGAGAUGAAUUCAUAUGUUCUAAGGGCAUGGUUAAGAGUUGACUUGAAGCACAGCUAUAAACUAGAAAACAUCAAGCUGUCGAACCUAUUGGUUGCCAUUAGAACUUUGAUGUUUCCUCUAGCAUCAAAACCAUCAAGCUGAUUGACGAUUUCAAGCAUAGUACGUUGAACUUCAUUGUCCCCACCAACGCCAUCAUCAAAACGAGCACCGCCAAUAGCAUCAACUUCAUCAAAAAAAACAAUGCAUGCCUUCUUUGAACGGGCCAUCUAAAUGACAAGACUAGUUGUUAGACAAACAGCGAAAGUAACUAAGAAAGUAAGGAAAUCCAAGAACAAUAAUCAAAUAAGUUCGCCAUUGAAUCGCCGGAAACCAAACAACCUGGAAAAGUUCGCGGACCAUUCGAGCUCCCUCCUACAUACUUCUGAACCAGCUCACUUCCAAUGACACGAAUAAAGCAGGCAUCAGUUCUGUUGGCCACGGCUCUAGCAAGGAGAGUUUUUCCUGUUCCAGGAGGACCAUAACAAAGGACACCUUUAGGAGGAUCAAUUCCAAGCUUCACAAAUUUCUCUGGAUGAAGCAUUGGAAGCUCCACAACCUGAGGAACAAUAAUAAGAGAAAACAAAAAUGAUGCGCUCUGGUUUAAUUCACCAACUUGCAGGUACCCGCCAUAUGUAUAAUCAUUUUACACUGCUGUCAAACCUGAAUGAGCGAUAACAACAUGAUAUUUUUAUUUUUAAUCACAAAGAAAAGGCAUACCUCUCGCAUCUUUUCAAUCUGCUCCUUACACCCACCAACAUCAUUAUAUGUGACAUCAGGCUUCUCCUCCACCGUCAUCAUCGUAACACUUGGAUCAAUUUUUGGUGGCAAGGGAAUCUGGAUUUGAUACAUAUUUCGAUCAACUCUGCAAAUGAAAGAUUAUUAGAUCAAACCAUGAUGUCCAACCAACACCAAUUGAGAUUUUCAAUAAAAGUCUCAGUCCUAGUAAAAUUAUUUGAUUACAACUUUGCGGAUAACUAACUGCACCAUGCCACAAAUGCUUAUAGAUACAAGAAGUGCUGAAGCGCUACAGAUGGUUUGACGCGAUAUAAUGUAAGGUCAUCUAAACUGAAUAUUGCCAGUUGCACAACAAAACAUACAGUCCAGGUAAGAUUGAUUCCAACAUCCACCUCUGUAGUAAUUAUGAAUGUCACAGGAACUUUGAUGGCCUACAAGUAUUAUAAUUCUCAUGCAAAUACCAGAUUAAAGGACUCAAAAGACAGUACCAAGGAGAUAGCGAUGUAUAAUUCCUUAUAGAUAGUAUGUUGUCACAACCAGCAACUAGGUGCCAAGGCCAUCCAUCACUGUGAUUAUGUAACUCAAGUCUGUUUUGCCAAUUAGUUGCUUCAGAAAUAAUCUUGCACUAACAAAUUAUUGUACUCUAUUUGUUUUACUUUUAUUAUUCUACAAUUGCUUUUGUAAUAUAUUAGACACUAGCUUUAGCGCGGAUGGGGGAAUGGGAGAGAGGGUGGGAAAGACAAUUAUUGCUAUUAUAAUGGAAAACGUCAAUAACGACACACUAGCUAGUUAGAAAAACUAAUACACCUCAAAUGAAGCAGUCAUUGAAGAGAAAUUGAGACAACUAAUCAAGUGAAUGGUAUUGUAGCCUUACCCAACUCGCAUGGCUUCUUCAAUAUCAGUUGGAGAGACUUUGUCGCCCAACCCGACCACAAACUGCAUAAGUCCAAUAGAAGAAAGAGAAUUUAAGUUGGGACGACCAUGUUGUUGUCCAUUUGUCCAGACAAGUAAACAUAGUAGGAAGAGCAUUACAUGCUCAAAAAGUAUACCUUGGCAAUUUGCUUAACAUUUAUCACAUAUUUAGCAUCUUCUGUGUUCGGGCUAAUAAUCUUCGUACACCUAGCAACCUUUUGAUGAAACAACAAUCUAGUCAGACACCAAAUAUGUAAGACGUAAAACAAGUUUACUAAUAAACUCCCAGAUAUCACAGAAUAAAACAAGCACGAAUACCUAAAAUUCAUGCAAAUUUGAGACAAAAAUACCUGCAGAGGUUGUUCCUCUUGCAUCAUUUGCUUGUCAGAAACCAAAUCCCACUGGCUAGGUGUAGCUAAACCAGUGUCUGACUCUUUGAUUCCUGGCAUUUCAUAACAAAAAAUGUCUCAAAGGUUCCAAGAAUAUAAUAGCAACAGAUUUUAAUAACAAAAACUACCUAUCACUACAUUAUGCUAGUUUAAAUAAGCUGUGGAAUCAACUUAUUCCAAAUACUCUUUCGGAAAUCUAAAGAAAAGAAAGAAAGCAUUUUUAUAUCUAAAUUAGCUCUUCAUGAGUAACGACAACCGACUCCAGUCACAAAAGACGCCACCUUUGAAAAGCGCACCUCUAUUUCAAGCAUCUUAGUACAUACCCAUUUGUAAUGUCCAUUGUAUGCUUGAUUUUGCUACAUAAUAGAACCGGACUAUAAUAAGAUAAACUCAAUUCUUCAAGGAACUAUAACUUAAAACAUCAAUCAUAUGCAUCGGGAGCUUAAAUACACAAAAUUUGAGUCAAAACAAUGACUCUUUACGUAUCACUUGAGAAAGUAGAGUCACAUUAUUUCAUUACAAGAAAAAUAUAAGCAAAACAAGUUCCAGUUUACAUAUUUGUACAUCCAUUUCUUCGUAUGUAUCUAUAGAGAUACAUAUAUUUAGGCAUAUGAUGAUAUUAACACACUACUUACCACAUAGAUCAUUGAUCUUCUUCACCAUCUCCUUAAUCUCCUUCUCCGCCUUCUUUAUGCUCUCAGAAUAAGGUCCCAGACCCUGCCAUAUGACACAAUUCUCAUCUUAUCAUCAUAAAUGUACUUAAACAAAAUAAGAGGAACAUCAAAUAGUUUCCACACAAACCCUUACUAUACAAUCGAUCCAAACAACAAAGGUAUUAAUAACUCACCACUCUAGAUCGCAUUCACCAACAAUAAAACUAGAUCUAGCGGAAUCUGAUGCGCAAACAAAGUAACCUAACCUAACCUAGCCCUAAAUCGAGGCGAACCAAAGAAGUGAAGAGAUUAGGGGAUGCGUACGUAGGUUUUGAGGAGGGCGAUAUCGUCUUCGUCGAGGGGGCAGGCGCAGGUUCUUCUCGUUCAACUCGUCUUCGGGCUACAGAACCAUGGCGAGGUCGAGGGAAGGUAGCGAAAAUGGCGAGUGCAAAAUUACAAAAUAGGUCGAUUUCUUAUUCACGGCAACAUGUUAUAGUGGUCGGACAAAUUUUAGUCCGACACGCCUAGAUCAAUGCCACGUGUCAGCGGAAUGGGAUAUGUAGGAGUAGGACGAUUUUUGAUUCGGCGCCUGUAUGUGUGUUGACACGUGUCACCUGAUUCUUGAACGUUCGACAUCUAAAUCCUACCCAUUUUCUCCUCUUUUAAUACAAAUUUAUUUUAUUUGAUUGGGUAUGUAACUUAUUAUUAUUAUUAUUAUCAUUAUUUUUAUACGAAUCCGAUAUGAUUAGAUGAACUUCUUAAAACAACAACAACAACAACUAAAAUUCAUUUACAUCAAUUUUGAAAAACAAAGAGGGAAUAACAAUAUUUCAAUCAAAACCAUCAAAGUACAGCACACACAAUCUGCAAAUUCUGAAACAAACUUUAAAUGCUGCAAAGGCAGUGAAAAACAACAAUUUGGCAUUUAAGAUCUAUUAGCAAUAAAUUAGAAGAAAUAAGAUUGCAUGAAUACCAAGGUCUUGCUUGUCCUCAAAAAUAUCAAAAACUUUCUCACUAAAACUGGAAUAGGUUCUGCAAAAUGUCUAUUAAUAUGUUCCUCCUUACAAAAUACAACAAACACUAUUCCUACUGGUUAUACAGUUAAGACAGAUACACAUGAAAUUAUAUCGGAGAUGCCGCCGCCUUGGAAUAAGUUUCGAGUUUCUUAACAUUAAAGCAUUAGAAAUAUAUAGCAAAAGUAGUUUGUAGAAAAUAUUGCGGAACGAAUUUGCGGCGCAGGUUCAAAAUUUUUUUUGUCAGUUGAUUCAAUAUAACGUAAUUGCCGACUUCUUUAGGGUUAUUGGGUAACCAUAAGUUGUUGAUUGUUAUGCCAAGCCACGACAUCCUCGUAUUGUAGAUUGCCCCCAAAUAUAUCGAGAGAACUUCCAACUGUAACAUCAACGUGGCCCUUGCCAGCGGUUUUUAUCCUAUCCAGCUCUUCCAUUGUUGAGACCCCGCCAGCAUAAGUUACCGGAAUCUACAGUGUGAAAAUGUUGAAAUAUAUGUAUGAGUUUUUAUCGACAUCCGCCGAUCAUAUUGAGCACAAACAAAGCUAAAAUCUUUCAUGCUCAAAACAAAUUAAUAUAUACUGUAAACAGGAGUACUAAUUUUAUAAAGAGGCAAUGUAAAGUUGAGUUCAUCAGUGAUGCAAUGUUGCAUUUGAGGUUGGGCCAAAAGACACUACACCUGUAAGGUACUAGAUUUUAGAAACACAAAAGCUAAUAUUAAAAAUGAAAGUAUACAAUAAAUAGCGCCUUUAAUGAUGGCCUUUAGUGACAAAUUAGCAAAACCAGAGCUCGUUCUUGGGUUAGGGGAACCAAGUCAUAAACAUGUGGAGAAAACUAAAUAACAGAAAGUAAGGUAUUACGUACAGGUGAGUAGCAUCCAAGCAGUGUCACAAGCUCCUCAUCAAUUCCUAGCCUGCCAUAGCACCAAGAACAUUAAUUAGAAACCGAGAUAAUAUAGUUACCGAAUCAGUUCUUGUUGGAGCCUAUAUUUGACCGAGUCCAUCAGAAUACUAAAAUGCUAACCAUUCGCAAUGUGAUAGAGGUGAAAGAAGAAACCAGCGAUAUAUUACGAAAAACCAAAUGGCAUGCCAAAGGUAGAGCGGUAAGAAGCUCCGGGUUGCUUUGAAAAGAAUCGAGUAGAAAUACUGUAGAGUAAGUCACCUUUUCCCCUCCACGUCAACUCCAUGAACCAAAAACUCAUCUGCAUAGGUCGCAAGAAAUUCCAAUGUCUGCUCUUCUAGAAUGACAUCACUGAAUUUCUGCCAUCUGUCAGUAACAAUGGCGUAUUUACCAUUCUACACCAAAAUCAUAAAGUCUACAAUCAAAUAAUACUACCAUUGAAAAGAAACAUAAUUUGCUAUCAACUCGGUAUGCACAAAAAAAAGUCUAAUUGUAAAUGUCAAUAGCAUGUAGCUAGAGAAUGUAACAAGUGAAUAAGUAAAACCAACAAUAUCAAGAAAAUUUCCCGUACCUUCUUUCUACAACUAAGAUCCAAGACAAGCCUUUGCUUUCCAAUCAUACCAACAAGAUGUUUAAGCCGUUCAAGGUUCAUUUGUCCAUUACUGAAAACAUACUGCAAGUCAAAUAUUUAAAUAGUUACUAUGAACUCAAUAAAAAAGGUCAGCAUUGAAUUGACAUAUAAACUUACUAUAUAUUAGUGGCGGGCAAAGCAUUAAAUAUGUGUAGAGAACCUGUGCUCCCCGAGUAAUGUGUUUUACACUUUGAAAUGCAGGGACUUGUGAGAUUAACAUUAGUACAUUAGCUUUCAUUAGAACUUUGGAAUUUUAAGUUCUUCUAAAUUUUCAACUACAAAGCAGAAAAAAUUUCAAUUAUGAAACUAUUUGUUAUGUGAAAGUUAUUGAGUACAGGAGAGAAACAUACAAAACAAUGAUUAUGAUCAUUCCAAAGAUUGAUAUGAGCAAAUGCAAACCAGAAGUAUUUUGUGUAUAAUAAAAAAAAAGGGACAUGAUAACUAUGCUGUUGCUCAAUCAAGCAAACAAUGUCUGUGAAAUAAAUAAAUAAAUCACAUACUGAUGUAACAAUCACGUGGCUUGCACCUUCCUUGAUAUAAGUCAUGGCAUUGUCCGAAUUGAUCCCACCUCCAAGUUGCAUGCCACCUAAAGUCAGGACAAUUUAUGGUCAUAUUGGCAUGGAAUUACUAUGUCUAAAUUGUGAUGUCAUAUAGCAGACAAAGCUUCCAUACUGAGAGAAAAAUGCUAGAGAAAAUACAUCAAAACCUAUUAAGAGCAUCAUUGUAACAUUAUUUUACCACGGAUAUACAAAAAUCAUAGGCUAUAACAGAGCAACACAAUAGAAAAGGCUACCAUCAUUGUAGGGUCUAGGAGGAGUCUAUAGUUGUCUCUAGGGAGGUUGUUUGCAUGAUUCAAAUCCACACAGCUGAGAAUGAAAGGUUGACUACAGAAAAAUAAUAAAAUAAAUUAAAAUUAUCCUUCUCCUAUUACAGAUAGCUUCUUAAUGCUGGAAAUAGUAGCUUGUUCAACUAAACGAAUUAGGUCUUCAUGUCAUUCGCACAGUAACACUCCACUACCAUUCCAAUUCCUGCACAUAGUCAGAAUUCUGACAAACUACAAUUCAUUACAUCUUUAAUCCGGAUUGAGAGAACAGAAAAUUUUUCUACUUUACACCUGCUCAAGCGAGGACUUUUACUUUCAGAAGUUCAAGCAAGAAGAACCCAAAGUUUCCUCACAGGAUGCAAAUUAUAAGCCAUUUGAUUGCGUGCAACUACAGUUAACUAAUAAUAAGAACUAUGCAUUUACAAAAUCAGGUAAACUAGUCUAGUUAAAUCUCGAUAUUGUGAAUUUGACAGCUUACUAUCUUCCACAUCAACUACCAUUAAUGCAGGGUUCAGUUACUAUGAAUCUUACAGUUAAUUGACCAUUAAGCAACAUAAGAAAAUCAAUGGCACAGUAUAGUGGAUUCUUUGGACCUAGAGCAAGUAACAAUCAUGCAAAAUCAUGGCCGAACAUUUCAAACCCCCACAUUUCAUCGAAAAAAAAAUAAAAAAUCCUUCUUUGAAGGAAACAAGUUAAGGAUAUGAAACCCUAAUUCCAACCAAAGAAGAGAUGAUCUCACCAGGAUAAGCAUGCAAUGCCUCCAAUGCCGCGACUCGGCUCGCAUCAUCGGCCCCGAGCAUUAUAACAUGGCCCCCCGUGAGCCCAUCCUCCUUGUAUAGAUUCGCGAACUCCGCCGGAGACUUAUCCGAUUCAAAAUUCGUCACAAGAGCCGUACCAUCCACCACCGUAUCCCUUAGCGUGGAUCCCACGAUCUGCUUCACUUUCCCCUACCAACCCACAGCAAAUUCGAUCAAAAACUAGGGUUUAAACAAAGGAAACGAGCGCGGGGGCGAUCUCGAAUCUAGGGUUUACCUUGUGGAUGUCGAUGCAGGGUCUGAAUCGAACGGCGCAUGCAACGAGGGAGACGCGAUCUACGCCGUUGGAUCGACGAGUUGGGAGAGAGAGGGGUUUACCGUUAGGGUUUCUCCGAUCAGGGAUGGGGUUGAGGGGAGAGGGAGGGACCCUCGCUCUCGCGCCAAAAAUCGUGCGCGUCGCCAUUGUUGAGGGGCGGAGUUAGAGGGAAGAGAGAGAGAGGAGAACGAUCCUCUCAAAAAAAGAAAGAAAAAAAAGUUUAAGAAAUAAAAGUAAAAAAAGAAAAAAUAAUCCGAUCCUAAUGGCCUUUAUCCCAAUGGAGUGCAACAUACAUAUUUUUUUGGCCCUUUUUUUUUAAAAAAAUAUAUUCGAGAUUUUUAUUAGAGUACAUGUUAUUAUAGAAUAACUUGUAUUUAUUUUCUACUAUAGUUUUUAUAUUAUUCUAUUUGAAUUUUUUGAUGCAUUUGAAUAGAAUGAAUUUUUUUAAAAUAUUUUUUAAUUUUUUAUUCUCAAAAUAAUAUAAAAAUUAUACUAAUAUUUGUUUCAUUUUUUAAAAUUAAAACAAUUUUACCUUUCUCUCAAAAUAAUAGUAUGACUCAUUUCUUUUAAACUGUAUUCAAGUCAUAUAUUUUGAAUGUUUUUUCAUUUUAAUACUUAAAUAAAAAAUAAAGCAGUUAAACAAAAUUUUUAAACUUUAAUUUUUUAACUUUUAUUCAUAGAAGUGCACUACUAUACAUUAGAAAAGUGCACUACUAUACAAUAUUCAAAUUUUUUUUAAAUUUUUCUUUUUUUGCAUUUAUUCUUUAAUUUUUUUUUUCUCUUACCUUACUAUUUCUAAGGGUAGAAAUUGUAAUAUGAAUUGACACAAUUAUAAUUCGGCCGAGUAUUAAUUUAGUGAGGGUAUAUUUAAGAUCCAACAUUUAAUUAUCAACAAAAUUUAGAAUCUUCUUUUAAAACAUGGCUUCAAACUAUUUCAAAAAAAAUUUAUUUUUGAGAAUUUAAGUUUAUAACUACAUACUGAAUUUUUUGAACUUCUAUUCUUAAUAAACUUGAUCAACACGCAAAUCAAAUCUAAAUACCUACGUGGGUAGGAUACUGGCCUAUUUAGAAACAAAAUGAAUAUACAUUUUUCACUAUUUUUAUUUUGAAAGUAAUUUAGCAAUUGUAAAGAGGGCCCUUUCAAUGCAAGAAAAGAAUAAAUCCAACCACCCACCACCCACGAUUUUAAAGCCAAAGCUGACACUUCUAGAAACCCUUUUCUCCUUUUUUUUUUUUUUUUUUUUUUCAGCAACAUAGAAAUGACAAAGUUACAAAGAGAGGAGAAAAAAAAAAACUCUAGAAGAUUUUUAAGUCAUUAGUCAUUAAAAAUAUAAAAGGAAAUUGCAGAGCCUCCAACAUAUAAAACUGCAUAUAGAUCCCUUCAACAAUAUCAAUUUCGAAUUGUCUGAUCUGAUUUAUUCUCUAAAAUUCAUUAAAAAUUAAUGGGUUUGUUAAAUUUUACAUAUUAAAAUUGGACAAAAUUGAUAGUUUUAUUAGCUAAAACAAUGAAAAACUUAUCAUUAAUUUAAGUUAAAAAAGUGUUAAUUAGAAAAAUAAUAAUAAUAAUAGUCGUUUAAGGGUCGAUUUUAAAACGUUCUCAUCUUAGAGGGGUUUCCUGCAAAUGUUCACACUUAGGCGCUUUUCCCCCUCCCUUUAAAAACACUUCUUUCUCCUGCAGCGUAUCUCCAACGAUGAAGCAACAACCACUCUCCUCUUCCUCCUCCUAGAAUACCCCUCCUCUUCCCAAAAUGGCCCCGACACUUCUCCCUCCUUCCACCACCACCGAGCUCGACAAUGGCGACUCCCUCACCCUCUGCUACCUCCCUGUUUCCUCGAACUCCUCCGACCAGUCUCCGUUGACCCCUCCGCCGGAUCCCUCCCACUUCUCCUUCUCCUUCUCCAGCUUCUCCCCCGACAUACGCUACGCAGACGAGCUCUUUGGCAAUGGGAGGCUCCUCCCCUACAAGCCCCGACACCAAUCGGCACCAUCUACGGCAGAGAUGAGCAAUACCCACGACGCAAAACGCCUGCUUUUUCCCCACCGCCGCUCGGCAUCACUUGACGGGGGCAUUCUCCACCACACCGAGCGCCCGAGGCUUCGGAGGGCAACAUCGGACUCCGACCCAUUAACAACGGUGCCGCCGCGGCCAAGGUGGUACGAGGUGUUCAUGCUCGGGCCGAGGAGGUUCUCAGGCACGGUGGAGAUGAGGGAGGUAAGGAGUCGGCAGAGGCGGAGAGUGUCGCCACCGUCGACUCCUCCAAUGCACAAUUCAGCAUCGCUGCCGUGGAAGCUCCUGCAGUCGCUGAGCUGCAGGGGCAUGGAAAGCGCCGCCACAAUCUCAGCAGGGGCGCCGCAGCCGCCGCCGCAACAAGUCUAAACCUUACUAUAUAUCUGUUACCUGACAACUAGUUGGAUUUUAAAAAAACCUUCUAUGUUAUUCCAACAAUUAUAUAAGCUUUAUAGAGAAUCUAUUGAUUUUUACUGUCAUAUUAAUAUUUUCAAGUAUAUAAAAUGUGUUCUAAUCGAUUAGUUAUCUCGACUUCUUUAUCAGUCAUUUUCUGGGAUUUAAUUGGUGAACCAAAGGCCAGUUGGAGAGAACAAAUAAAAGAGUUCACGAGGAGCCCGAGAUUUGCAUUUAUGAGAGGCUCUUUAGGAGAUCCAAGAGUUCAAAAAUCAUAAACAGAAAAACCAUUGUAUUUCGCAUUGUUGAGACCUCAACUUUCAUUUAUUUUAUUUCAUUUUUUGUUUGUAACUGAAUGAUUUUGUUAGUAACUACAUUAAAAAAAUUCACCAAACUCAUUUAAAUCAUAGAGCAAAAUAAUUAACUAAUAGAUGACCAAUAGAUCUAUGAAAUUUAAAAAAUUCAGCUUAAUUUAGCAUAUUGUUCUACUUUUACCUUUGGAAUGUGAAGUUCAAACCACAAUAUGAACAUUACUAGAGACCUUUCCUCAGAACACUUGAUAAAAACAAAUCCAGAACAAAGUUAUGAAAUUAAUACUAAGAAAACAGCAAAUGUACUUUCAUAACUUUGCAACAAACAAAAUAUUCUUAGUAACACCCUCUAAUCUAAUGUUUCUCAUCCUCAAAUCAGAAAGAUCUAGAACCUUAUCUAGCAAGAGAUGAACAAAGACACAAUGGAGUUUUAAUGAUUCAAAACACACAUUAGGCACUUAGAUUUAGCACUCAUCAUGAACUAAAGAUGCAACUUAGAGCAAAGCUAUUUACAAAACCCCAUUAAAAGUGUUUUUCAUUAUUUGAGCAACUUCUAUUAUGGCAUAAAAACUUGUCAACUCCACUCCACCAAUAAAGGCACAAGCCAGUUUAGAUUCUGAGCAUUACUCUUCAAAUGAUCAAACCAAAUUUUGCACCAAUAUGUAGCGCAUGUUCAGAGAAUUUGACUGAUAUUAUGGUAUCUAUUCACCAUUCAAACACAAUUUUUACAACAACCAAAUUACAUGUAACUCAAUUGACAAGUUACAUCUCACACACAACAACAAAAAAAAGAGAAACCACAAAUAAAUCAAAGAUAAUAUCCACUCAGUUGAAACACUAGAGAGAUCCAAAACAAAUCUAAACAGAAACUUAGCAUUCCAUCCUAACACGGUUCAAUUGAGAUACAACAAUAAGACCCAAAAACAAACCAAAUCAGAGGGCUCACCAACGUAAAUUACACUUUACUGUCUAUCCCAUCCGGCCCAAUGAGAAGCACAUAAAACAUCAAAUAAAUAAGAAAAUAUCUCAUUGUAAGGUAAAAGUCCUUGUUCACAUUUGAGAGCACAACCACAUCCAUUCAUAUCAAACACCUAGCCACAUCCCACAAAAAAAAAAAAAACCCUAAAAUCGGAAGCUAACUACGAUCCAUAUUAGAUCCAUCCUUUUCCAAUCUCACGUACACUAACACAACGAUCAAAAUGGCAAAGGGAAAGAGAGAGAGGGAGAGCGUUCAACCACCGAAGCCAUAGAGGGUGCGGCCCUGGCGCUUGAGGGCGUAGACGACGUCCAUGGCGGUGACGGUCUUGCGGCGGGCGUGCUCAGUGUAGGUGACGGCGUCGCGGAUGACGUUCUCGAGGAAGAUCUUGAGCACGCCGCGCGUCUCCUCAUAGAUGAGGCCGCUGAUGCGCUUCACGCCGCCGCGCCGCGCCAGGCGCCGGAUCGCCGGCUUCGUGAUCCCCUGGAUGUUGUCCCGGAGAACCUUGCGGUGGCGCUUCGCCCCUCCCUUUCCCAACCCCUUCCCCCCUUUCCCCCUCCCCGACAUGGCCGAUCCCUCGAGCUCUCUCUCUCUUUCUCUCUAACGCUAUCUCUCUCUCUCUCUCUCUCUCUCAACUUUGAUGAGGGGAUUUGGGGGUAAUGGUAGGGAACAAGGGGAAGAGGAGGAUGAGGGGUAUAUAUAGGGAAGAGAGGUGUGAGAUUAGCCGUUGGAUGAGAUGGCGAUCCGAGGGAGAUCGUAACGCUUGCCGUAGUCCGUUCGAUUGGAGUAACUCGUUGUUGAUUGGUGGGAAUUGGGAGUAGCGGAUUAAGGUCGUAGAGUGGGCCGUUUCUAUGUCUUUGUAAUUUGGGCUCGCGGAGAAGUUAUCUCGGGCCUCGGCCCACUAAAAACCCCUCACCUAUUAAAACCUUUGAACUAGGCCCCUUAAGUAUAAUAUUUUUAAAAAAUUAUUAAAUUAAAUUUGAUGAGAUAUUGAUAAAGUUAAUAAAAUUUUUAAUUCAUUGGACGAAACUCGCUCGAUUCUAUAGAACUAAAAAUUUAAAACAUCAAUUGAAAAGAAAUAUUGAUUAGCUAUCUGAUAAUUACCUAUAGUUAAGGGGAUCGCCAUGCAAUUUUACCCAAAUUAAUCCCUCCCAAUGAAAGAGAGGGAAACCCCAAACAAACUGCUGAGUUUCAUUUUUAAAAAACCAAAAACAGCUCCGCGCCAUCAUUUCUCUUCAUUUUCAGAUCAAAACUGCGCGGAAAAAACCCAAAAAAAUCCCCAAAAAAAACAAAAACAAUACCCCCGCCCAAAUGCUCCACCACGACGACGAGGACGAAGACGAGGAUGAAGCCAUGGCCAUGACGAUGCUCCGACCCCAAAACCCUCUCCACCUCCCAACCGAAAAGCUCUCCCUCGGUUGCCCCGUCCUCGACCGCCUCCUCCAUGGCGGCCUCCCCUGCGGCUCCCUCACCGAGCUCGUCGGCGAAUCUAGCUCCGGUAAAACCCAGCUCUCCCUCCAACUCCUCCUCUCCUCCCCCUCCACCUCCCUCUUCAUCCACUCCCCCUUCCCCUUCCCCCUCCGUCGCCUCCUCUCCCUCCCCCAUCCCCACGCCAUUAACGACCCCAACUCCCUCGAUCGCAUCCUCCUCGCUCCCGCUCACUCCCCCUCCCACCUUCUCUCCCUCCUCUCCCGCGCCCCCCGCUUCCGCCUCCUCGUCGUCGACUCCCUCGCCUCACUCUUCCGCUCCGAGUUCGAUCCCACCCCGAUCGCCAUGGCCCGCCGCACCUCCCUCCUCUUUGAAGUAGCCUCCAUGCUCAAAUCCCUCGCCCUCCGCUUCGGCGCCGCCGCUGUCGUCACCAACCACGUCGUUGUGGUCGUCGGGGCGCAGGGUGGCCCCUGCGCUCGGGAUCUCGUGGGCGAAUUGCGUGAACACGAGGAUCUUCUUGUCGAGGAGCGAGGAGGUUGUUGAGGGUUCGGGGGACGAUGGGGUUACGAUGAGGACGAGGACGAGGAGGAGGCUGCAAGUGGUGUUUGCGCCGCACUUGCCGGAGUCAUCGUGCGAGUUCGUGAUCCGGAAGGAAGGGGUCUUCGGCAUAGAACCGCACAGGUAAAGCCGCUUUCGAUUUCCCUUUCCCGAUCUCAGUUUUUGUAAUGUUUAAAUUAAUGCAAUGUUCCUUUUCCAUGAAUAUAUUGCUUUCAAUUGUGUUUGUUUUGGUGGUUGUGAAUGUGAGUAGUUUCCUCUGUUUUAGUGUGACGCAUCAAACAUGUUCGUAGAAAUGUUUCAGUGACCUAUCUUCCACUGGAUGGCCAAAUUUGAACCCAUUUUACACAUCGUAGUACCGUGCAUUUUUUAGAGUCGUAUGAAUAGGCCGGUCAUUGACAAGCUAGACAGGUGUGACUGUGAAAAGGAAAAUCACUGAUGCAUUUUAUCGAUCAGUGUGAGCUCUUAUAAGGUACAAAUCGAAGAAGUCUAGGCAAAUCAUGGUAAGGACCAGCCCUGAAACCUAGCAUGCAAUUUGAAUGUAGAGGUUUAUGUGCUUCGUUUACUUGUAAAUCCAUAAAUACUGGACUAAAAGAUGAACUCGUAAGUAAUUAGACGGGUAGGAAAUUCUUGAUUUAAGGAGCUAUAGUCAGUUAUGCGAUUAUCUUAUACUUGCUGUCCUAUUUAACUAUAUUACAUUGCUGAGCAUUUAUAAGCAGGUUAUUGUUUCUCGCGACAGCAGUGAAUGUUCUAAAGUGUUUUAGUCUUCUCAUCCCUGAUUAAAUUUCUUGAUUAGCAAGAGGAAGGUACGCCAUUGCCACUUUUUUCCAUCAUCUCUUCCGAGAGGAUAUUUCUCUUCUUGCUUUUGGUAUGCCUUUUUUUUUGUGACUUUGUGAAUCCUGUCGAAUUUGCAUCAUUAUGCUGCCAAAUUUAGUAGAUAUUGCAUAGUUCUGGAAGAAUACUAUCCGGAUAUAAAAUCAUCUUUACUCAGUGAAAUAUGUAGCCCUUUUUAAGGAUACAGGAGAUCUUUAUAAGGAGACACAUCCUAUUGCAUUCCAAGGAUUAGAAUUAUUAUCUUCUUUGGACUUGAGUAAUUAAGUUUCCCAAGCACAAGUUCCUCAAACUAAGGAUAGGAUUUGUGCAGAACUGUAACCUUGCAUUAGCUGUAUUGCUUCUUUCCUAAGGAUUGGACUUGAAUAAUUAAGUUUCAUAAGCGCAAAUACCUCAAACUAAGGACUGGAGUUAUGCAGAACUUUAACCUUGUAUUAGCUUAUAUUGUUCUUUCCUAUGUAGGCAAUUACCAGUUUGAGUGUCCUUUCCAAGUCGGCCGUUGAUAACAUUAAUUUUCACUUUUCAGUCACCCUCCUGAUUAACCUAACUACUUGUAGGUGCAUCUGGCACUAUGAAUGCAUUCCUUGGUUACCUAAUCAGGCUACUUAAGUUUCUAUUCAUCUCUCAUCUACUGCUAUUUAUUCAUUACUCAUUUCUCGAGGGCCAUUCUAUUCAGUCUUUGAAUUCUCUUUAUGAAAAAUCGGCUUUACCUUAGCAGAUACAUCGAUAAAUUUUCAAGUGAGACAUGCAAUUCUUAAGUAGCUUUGUUCCGCAUCCAUAUAUGUUACGAGUUGAUGUGUGAUUUCAUGAGUCAUCUAACCUACUGUUGAUCGGAGGUCCUUACAGCACAGUAAAAAAGUAACCACUCGCGUCUUAGAUUUAAUAACUAGAACUCUUUAUGAAAGUUAAGUGUAAUUUGAAGGCCCAGCAAGUUCUUUUACUAGCUACAAAAUGGAUGUUCAGACCUACAACUGGAGAAAGUGAUUAGCACAAGAUUAGUUUCAGAGGCUAGGUCACAAUUAGGGUUGCUAAAGGGCCUGGGCUGAACCUGCAGAGGCUAAGGAAGGGCCUACAUAGAACACUUAAUGGGCCUAGAUCAAUGAUUGUAUUAGACUACAGGCCUCAACCUGUCUCUUUUAAGACCCUUAUAUGAAUUUAUCUGUUACAAGGUAAUGUCAACUGCAACUGCUAAUUAUUCAGCGUGUAACUUUUCCUACAAAUAUAAAGUGAGCACUGCUUUAUAUAUAUGAUGUAUCUCAAGCUCUACUAGAAUAUAGAAAUAUACACAUAAUAACUAGUGGUUUGUUUUAGUGCUUUAGAGUUGGUUUCUUACGCGGUGUUGUAUUUGCAAUGUAUAAAGAUCAAAUCAAUUACUAACUAAUCGUAUAGUACUAAAUCAUCAAUAAUAUCAUCAUGAUAUGAAUACUCAGUAAUGCUACCUGCACAUCUAUAUAUAGGUGUUAAUCUUAAACCAUAGGAUUUUAUGGUUUAGAUUUAUUCAUUUGUCUUAUCAAAAAAAGAUUAACAAUGAAAACUUAAAAGAGGUUUUUGAACCCUAGAACCAUAGAGUGUAAGAUUUACAUCUUACAAUGGCAUGCACAUAAUAUUAUAUUAAGUAUAUCGCAAUGAGCCAGUUAUAAUAUAAUUUUUAUGAUUUCGCUGUAAAAUGGAGAUGCAUAUUUCUUUAUGCUUUUUAUCCUAAUUCUAUUUUGCUUAAUGACUUCAGAUAACCCCUGAUACCAAAUUGACUCUAAGAAUAGAGUAGGGAUAGGAGAAGCAUUUUGUAUACUUUUACUCCAAUUUUUUUUACCUAAUGACUUUUAGGUUAGAGAUGUAGAGAGAGAAAGAGAGAGAAAGUGCUUAGCUUAGAGAUAGAGAAGCUGAGAUUAGAGAAAGGGGGAGAAAGAGAGUAUAAUUAGAGAAAUAGAGAGAGAGAGAGAAAGGGUGAGAGAGUUAAGAUUAGUAAAAAGAGAUCAAGAGAUGGGAUUAAAGAGAGUAAGAGAGUUUAUGUUUAGAGAAAGAUGAGGUUAGAGAGUAAACGGGAAAAGUAGGUGAUGGAGUGGAGAGAGAGAAAAAUAGAGGGUGGAAUUACGAAUUUAAUGAUUAUUAUAAUUCAUUAAUAUAAAGGUACAUACCUUCUCCCAAUGGAAUAAUAUUAUUACUUUAGUGUGAAUCUCAUUUCCAAAUGAAUCUAAUAUUAUCAAUCAAAUUACUUGAUAUAUUUAGCCAAAUGUCAUCAUUUUAUUUUGUUUCUGUUAGAUUAGCGAAAAUUGUAAAAAAAUAACACAAACUAAAUACAGCUGUAGAACUAAAAUUCUCAUUUAGAAUAUUUCUUACUAUUUCUUCUAUAGAAGUUUCCAAGACCAAACUUUGCCUAGAUUAAUCUAAUUUACCCACGAUUUGUAUUUCGAAAGAUUUUGGGUGAAAUCCGAAUCCAUAUUUUGUUGGCUUAUAGAAUUUCAAUAUGGAUCCAAGAAGGACUAAUAUCAGGCUUAUGAUCGAUUCUCCAAAAAUUCAAACUAGAGUUAGGCAAAUAUGAAAGAAAAACAAAUUUUUACAUCUCAGAUGUUUGUAUCCUCAUUAUGUAUGUUAAUCCAAAAAAAAAGAAUAAUGGGUACAAAUUAUUUGAUAAUAGUCCAAUAUUAAUUAGAUAUAUUUCCAAUCCAAAUGUGUACCCUAGUAAGUCACAUGUAGUCCUAUUCAAUGAUGGUUGUCAAAUAAAUGCUCUUUAAUUAUCUCAUGAGGAGAUCAUAUAUUGUUUAUAAUAACUUCUAUUAGGAAAUUGAUUUUUCUUUUAAGGGAAAAGGGUAUUUCUAUAUUUUUCAAUUUUUUAUUCAUUUUCAUCUUUAUAUAAUAUAUAAUGAAAUAUAUUGAUCUGUAUUAUUAAUAUAUAUAAAUGUCAGUAUACAUAUAUGUAAACCACUUCAAUUAAAGGCCAUUUAUAACCUUUUUUUGUUGACAUAAAUUGUACUAUGUACAAAAGAAAAUUAGUAUUUUUUCACAUGAAAUAAUAAUUAGAGGAAUAAAAGGUUGAUAUAUUUUAUUACGUCCAAAUGUGCAAAAUUGAAAUCAUAGAUUACUUUUCUAAUUAAUACAGUGUGACUAAUUUGGUUACUCUUAUUAAAUACAUUAAAGCAACAUCAGAUUCUUAAGUCAUGCAGAUUUAAAUGGAGCAGAUUCUCCCUUACAUCCCUUAUAUAUUAUUUUUAUAUUUAAAUUUAUUUUAAUUUAGUUAUUUAAAACAUAUUCUAAAAUUAGAUAAAUUAAACAUAAAAAUAACAACAUUUAUCAAAAUAUUAUACUUAUUAAAUGGAUGAACUCCUAUACUAUAUUUUCAAAAAAGAGAACGAGCAAUUUAGGAGAAGAGUCCCUUUCCCCUCAACAACCACAUAACGUAAUAAGCUACAUAAACAUAUUAUCUUACAUUAUUAUUUUACUAUUUUUGCAGGUUCAAAUAUUAUUUUACUAUUUUUAAUAGAGCAAGUACAAUUUCAAUGAAAAUGACUAAGAGCUAAUUAAGCUUUCGCCUGAUCGAGGUGUUAGCCUCGGAUUAAAAAUGAAAGUCCACACGACUUUCUCACCAGGUGUACACUGUUCGUAUUAAGAAAAUAUUAAUUAAACUAAUUGCAAUGAGGAAUGAUUAGGCUUUGACUCAAGGGAUUAGUAGCCAAUGGUUAUACUUUGCUUCUCCUUCCCCAUCAAAAGAUGUAAGCCAUUAUUUUCACAAAUUAUUGCCUACACUUAGUACAUCCGUAUGUACAUUCGUGUCCGUUCAAUAGCUUUUGAUCGUGUAUUAUAUACAGUGCUUGAAUCUUAAAGCAGAUAAUUUAUUGCCAGUUGGACGGUCCUGUUAUGAAUAGCGUAUGAGGAGUUUUUAUGUAUAUAAUUAGAUUUAAAUAUUUCAAACCGGCGGUUUGGAUUCAGUAAGCUGUUAAUAUUAAUAGGUUAAUUCUUUACUUUUGAUAUCAGAACCACUCACAAAUCAGAGUUACUUAAGCUUAAAUAUUUUGGGCUACUGAUUUGAAUACAAUAGAUUGCUAAUUUUAGCGCGGUAAGCUGACUAUAGGAAAAAAGAUAUCUUAUUUUAAUCUCGUAUAUUGAUUAUACAGCAAAGAUUAUUUUAGUUUUUGUUUUGUACUUUAUUUCUGUUUUAAGUGGGCUUAAAAAUUUAUAAUGAUAGUUGAAUUUAAGAGAAAAGCAUUAUGAAAUGCGUUGACAUUUGAUUUUGUUAUACGUUUGUUUAGCACAAUAGUAUAAAUUGAAUGUAUUAUGUAAUAAUAAUAAAUUGUAAAUUUUGGAAGCUGCGUAAAAUGGGAUCUGUUUAUCUAGUUAUGUAUCUAUUAAUUAAUUUACAACCCGAAAAUAUGUUCAAAUAGAGAACUGAUGUAGCAUGCUAAUUAUUAAUUCCAGAAAAAAAAAAUUGCAUGUGAAUUCAAUAAUAAUUCUAAAUUUUUAGAUUUAUUUAGGAAAGUAAUUAAAACACAACCUAAAUUGUAGAUUAAUUUUUAUGUCUAACCUUUUUAAUUAGGUUUGUUAUAGAGGCAUAGCAUGUGUCUUUGAAAUUAUUAAUAAGAAAUAUGUAUAUUAAAUCAACUUAUCGUGGGAAUGUUAAUAUCAUCAUUCUCUAAUUGAGAGAACGAAUAUAAGUUACAUGCUGGAUCUUUUAACAUGACAAAUAAUUUAAUCAAUCGUUUUAUUAUUGAUCACAGCUUUAAAAGUUGUGCGUACAAUGUUUUCAUUGAGCUGGUGCAAGCAAUAAACUUUUUUCUUUCUUUCUUUCUUUCUUUCUUUUUUUCUUCCUCCAUGUGAAAGAAGAUUCCCAUUUGGGGACUACAUCUUUAGUCAACUUCAUUGAAUCAAAACACGUGAGAGGAAAAGUAAAACAGAGUAUGAGAGGUGAAAUAUUCAAAGUAAAUUAUUCAAUACUCUGCCCCACCUCAUUCCAUAUUAGGGAUAAUAUAUUUCCAAAUAGUUAUUUCUUUACCAAACCUCAUUCCAAAACCAUGGCCAUAGUAACAUACAUACCCUAAUUUUAUAUGAAGCAACUAACUGCAAUUGGAACAUUUAUAUAUUAUUUUAUCAAGGCCAACUUUAAAAAAAAAAAAAAAACCCCAAACACCCCUUGUACUUAACAAGAAAUUGUUGUCUACAUUUGGUGUAUCUAUACGUCUUGUGCAUUGCAAAUAAUAUUUGAUGAUCGGUAUCUUAAAAUUUAGAUUAGCAGGUGUAAUCCAUAAAAUGUAAAGAGUUUAUCUUGUGAUGGUAAGUUUUGAAAACCGGUUGUAUAGGCAUCAGGUAAUAGAACAGAAUAGGGGUGGCAAUCCAGCUCGCUGUUCGCGAGCCAGCUCGUGUUCGGCUCGAAAUGAGCUCGAGAUCGAAUCGCUCUUUUAGUAAACGAGCCGAACAUGAGCUGAAUUUUUCAGCUCGUUUAAUAAACGAGCCGAACACGAGCUGGGGUUAGCUCGCUCGUGUUCGGUUCGAUAACAGCUCGAAUACAUAUAUUUUAUACUUAUAUAAUUUAUUUAAUUUAUAUUUUUAUAUAUAAAUAAAUAAUUAUAUAUAAUAUAUUUUUAUUAUUUAAUUUUUAGCGAAAUAAAAAUAUAAAUGCGAGCUUAAUUAUAAAAAGACUCAUUUAUAUGUAAAAUUUUAAUUAUUAGAUCAAAAUCUAAUAGAUAAGAUUUUAUAAAUUUAUUUUUUAUAUAUAUUUAAUCUAAUCCUUUUUAAUUUAUUGUUCGUUGGCCAGCUCGUGAGCCAGCUCGUGUUCGGCUCGUUAAUAAACGAGUUGAAUACGAGCUGAAUUUUUCGGCUCGAUAUUUUAACGAGCCAACCCCAGCUCGCUCGUGUUCGGUUCAUUUACACCCCUAGAACAGAAUAGUGCUCAAGUCAUAAAAAGUUUUUUGCCUAUUUUAAUCCUUUAGAAAUGGAUUUAAAGUAAUUGAGUUUCAAACUUAAGACGUUAGGUACCCAUUAUUAAGUUUGUAGCCAAUUAUGUAAGAUGAGGUUGGUGCUCGAUUAAUAAAAAGAUGAUGUGUGAAAUUUAUGAUUCUUAACAUGUAAGGCUUAUGAAUGGCGUUGAAUACAUCCACUGAAUUAGAUUCUAAUUUUAGGUUCUCCAUAAUAGAAUUUUAGCAAUACAGUAUACGAGAGUUAGGUCCUAAUGUUGAAAUAACUUAUUCAAUGAUAACUUGCAUGAUAUGAGAAUCUUCUUUUCAAGUUUGAAAUUAGGAGUCUGAAUUUUGCUCAGUGAAAGAUUUGUUGUCCGUAAUUUAAUACAAUAGCAUAUUUUAUCUAUAAGAUAAUUUAUUUUAUUUCGAAGAAAAUAACUUACAAGCUGAAUAUCAUCUGUUAGAGAGUACAAAAUUUUUAAACAAGUUAAAAAGCUAUGCUGAACAAAAAACUUAUGUAUUCAAAUAGGGCCUAAGUGCACGUAUUAUUCUAAUAAGGAAAAACUUCAAAUAUCAUUCCUGUGGUUUCACAUUUUUUCACUUUAGUAUUUUGUGAUGUAAAGUGUAUUAAUUUAGUGCCAUGUAGUUUCAUUUUUAUCUUUUUAUUAUUAAUUUCACCAAUUUUUUUGUUAAAUCAGUGACAAAGUUAAAACUAAAUAGUACUAAAGUGAAUAUUCGAUAAACUUAGAUGGAGUAUUUGAAAUUUUUUGUAUGUAAUUUAACGAAAUCUUAACGGAAAAACUGACGAAAAGAUAAAAAUGAAAUCACAUGAUAUUAAUUUGAUACACUUUAAACCACAGGAUAAUAAAAUGAGAAAGUGGAAAACCACAGGUGUGGUAUCUGAAGUUCAUCCUUCUAAUAAUACUAAUACACUUGGUUCACGCAAUAAUUUGUUUCUUCUAACCACCGUAUGUGCUCUGCUAUGUCCUUGGUCAGAAUCCUCGUUCCACCACACGUAUAUAGACAUAUACAUGUAAACUCCUGAGUCAUGGGUUUAUUGUAACACACAACACACAUUCCUCUUCUCCAAUCCAACAUUCCAACUAUGGGGUUCAUCACCCCAAGAACAUCAUCUCCUUACACCAUAACUCUCCUCCUCAUCCCCCCAGCUUUGCUUGCCCUGACUUAUCUCAUCCCCCUCCCCGACUUCUUCGCCCCCUGCGCCGCUCCGCUGCUGUUGUCGUCGUCGUCGUCGACCCCGUCCCCUCCCCCCGACCCCGAAUUCCGCCUCCUCAUCGGCAUCCUCACCCUCCCCAACCGCUACGCCCGCCGCCACCUCCUCCGCCACGUCUACUCCCUCCAGCAACCGACGAGCCCCUCCUCCGUCGCCCGCGUCGACGUCCGCUUCGUCUUCUGCAACGUCACCGACGAGGUCGACGCCACGCUCGUCGCCCUCGAGGCCGCGCGCUACGGCGACGUCGUCGUCCUCGGCUGCGACGAGAGCAUGAACACCGGAAAGACGUACACGUUCUUCGCGAGCCUCCCCGACAUGCUCGACGGCGACGGCGGCGACGGCAGCACGACGAGUCGGCGGGCGCCGUAUGAUUACGUGAUGAAGACGGACGACGACACGUACUUCCGUCUGGACCGAUUGGUGACGUCACUGCGCGGCCAGCCGACGGAGGACUUCUACUACGGCGCCGGCCUCCCCUUCGCCGACCCCAAAUUCCCCCCCUUCAUGCUCGGCAUGGGGUGCGUAAUUUCCCAUCUUUUAAAUACUCCCAAAUUUAAAUUUAAACUUUAAAAUUUGAAUCCAAUUCACCAAUGUAUGGUCGUUGUUCCCUUUUUUUUUUUUUUUUUGUAAUCAUUUACUAAGGAGGAGGUGUUUGGUUUAUCAAAAAUACUUUGGACUUUUAACCAAAAAAAAAAAAAAAAUCGUCUAUUUCAUUCUCAGAAAAAACAGUUUUAUUCUGGAAAAAUAUUUUAUGUUUAUUUGAAUUUUCAAAAAAAUAGUUUUCUUCAAAAAAAAUUUAAGAGAUCUUAUAGAAAAGUCUCCUUUUCGUUAACGUAAAAUGAGCUAUCUAGUUAUUCUAACAUUUGACUUAAUUAACAAAUUCAACGAGUUUUUACAGUGAUUAAUUAGUACCCAAAGUAUUAUUAUUGACUUUUCCAUGAAAACUACCUAAAUUUUGCAUAAUGAUUUUGUAAUUUUACAUAUAUUAAUGUUUUAUAAAAAAAAUAAUCAAAUCAUAAAUACGUGACACCGUUGACGCGUACUUAUUUAUUAUCAAAAAAAAGUAAUAUGUUAAUGUUUUAAUAUUCAACAGGUAUAUAUUAUCGUGGGAUUUGGUGGAAUGGAUUGCCACGUCGGAUAUUCCACGUAAGAACGCGGUGGGGCCCGAGGACAUGUUAACGGGGAAAUGGUUAAAUACGGGGAAUAAGGCGAGGAAUAGGUAUAAUACGGUCCCGUAUAUGUACGAUUACAAGGGCCCUACUUCGGGGGACUUUUUGGUGGACACCAUAGCGGUGCACCAGCUCAAGGAGAAUUCGAGGUGGGCCCACACGUUGAAGCACUUUAACGUUACCAAGGGAUUAGAAAAACCCUCUAAAUUUUACCAUUUUUCUUAAUUUUUUUUUUCCCUUUUUGUGGGGGUUUUAUUUUUUGUGUUUUGGGGGGGAAUUGGUUUAAUUGUAAUAGAUUUUUUUUUUUUACAUAUAAUUUACGUGAUUUAAUUUGUUAGAAGAGGAACAAAAGUUUACAAAUUUCAGUAUUUGUUUGUGAAUUAAAGUUUGGAUUUUUUUUUUUUUUUUUUUUACUGAUGUUUACUAAAAAUUUUUAUAUUAGUAUACAAGAAGGUGAAAGCAUUUAAAGCAACUAAUUUUUUUUAGUUUUUUUUAAUCUCUUUUUUUAUGUAAUUUGUUUCGUUGUCAAUUUGAGCAAAGUUAAUUAUGGCGUUUUGAAAAGGUUGAGUUAAGAUCGAAAUUAGUUUAUAACAAAUCAAAUAGCGAAAGUAUGUAUUUACUAAAACAAAUUGGGUCAUAGGUGCUAUUGAGUCUUUUAAUUUUAGUGUUUUUUUUUUCCCUAAUUUUUUAGACUAAUUGAGGUUUCUCUUGUUAAAUAUAUCCCCAACUAAUUAAAAAUUGAUAGGAAAUAUGCUUUGAAUGCUUAGUCAUUUAUUAAAGAGUACUGAGAAAAAAAUUCUAGGCACCAAAAUGAUAUUAAUGUAUAUUUAAUCUUUUUUUCAAUACUUUAAUUACAUUGUAAUAUUUCUUAAAUUAACACUACGAUUAUAGUAAGAAGCGCACGAACAAAAUAAAUUUUAAAUUUAAGUUGCAAUGGAUGCGUAAAACAGUUUUGCCUCGUUAAGAAGGAUUUUCGAAGGGAUAAAUUUUGAUCAUGAAUAUAUAGCAUUUUAAAGGGAUAAAUUUUAACCAUAACCAGAACCCGCGAUUUAUAGCUUAAAGAUGAGACCAAUUAUUAUGUAUAAAACAUGGACUCGAAAACUCUAUCAUCAGAAAUAAUAUGAGUAUGAUAUUCAUAGAAAUAUAAUAACUUGUGUGCAAACAUAUAUACACAAGCACGCAAAAUAGGCAUACAUAAACAUGCAAACAUGCAUAAACACGCAAAAAUUACGUACAUAUUUAAUAAAAGGGAUAAUAUUUUCUUCAAAAUUUUAAAAAUAUCUAGUUUACUCGUGGUCGACUAAAAUGCCUUUGUUUAUUUAAAAAAAAUCAAAUAUACCUCUGCCCUCUAGGGUUCACUAAUAAGAUUGGGGUUUUUAGAAGGAUAUUUUAGGAAAUAUGGAGUAAAUUUAAAAAUUUUGAAUAAUAGGAAGGGAUAUAAAAGCAAAAAAUCCCAAUUUAUAUUUAUGCAUGCAAUAUAUAUAAAGAGAUUUUCAUAAUAAAUUUUUUAGAAAUAAAUAAUGAUUCUGGAUUAGUUUAUGUGAUCGAAUCAUCGAGAGAGGUCCAUUAACUCUUAUAAUUAUUUUUUGCAAAAUAAGCAUGGUGUAUAUAUAUNCAACCAGACUCUAUAUAUAUAUAUAUAUAGAGAGAGAGAGAAAGAGAGAGAGAGUUCUAUUACUAUAUAUAUUAUCGAUAGUGAUCAAACGUUUUGUGCUAUCGAAUUUUUUGUUAUUAAAUUUAUCUCUUUGACUAAUUUUAUCCAUUAUAUUAUACUAUUAAACUAACCAUUCACUCAAUUUUAGAUAAUCACUAUUAUUCUAAACGCGCAUCUUUUCAUCUAAGAAUCAAAAAUCGCUUAGUACUAUAAUAGUAUAGUAGUCUAAUUUUAUAUAUAUAUAUAAAAUUAAAAUUAAUGCUACAAAUGCUUCGUAGAACAUGCCAAGUUGCACCAUGCACGUUGAUGAAAUUAAAGAGGGGGAAUUAAUUAAUUACUAAAUAUUAUCCUAUAUAUUCUUUUUGGUAGGUAAAUAAUUUUGGUUUGUUAUAUUUCGAGAGCAUUAAAAAAGAGAACAAUUGAAAAAAAAAAAAUAAUACUGCAAAAUACAUUCUCAUAUACAUGACAUAUCUCUUACAACGUGCCAUGAAUUGCGUGCAUAAUUUGGGACCUUAUAAAAUUAAUUAAAUGAAUACAUUUUAAGUUUUAUAGAUAUAUUUAUUUUAAGCCUGAAAUAAAUCGAGUCACGCAUGUUAAAUUAGAUCUGAUUUUCUUAUGUGAUUUUGUUUUGGUUUUUGCAACUACACUAGUAAUUAACUAAUAAGUUGAGUUCGAAAUCGAAACUGAAACCAACGAAAAAUAAUAUAUAUGUGUACGUACAUGAAUUUAUAGAAUUAUAUACCAACACUUCAUCAAAAUAUACCCUAUUAUUUUGAAUUUUGUUGAUAAUUUUUUCACUAUUGUAGAGUCAUUAAGAUAAAAUUGUGUUUGGAUUUCCAUUUGAUUGGUUAAAUUAAUUAAUUUGGGAGUUAUUUUCCCAAAAAAACCAAAUAGAAUUCGUACAUUGACAUUCUUAGGUACGUAGAACCUCACAUCUCAGAUCCAUUAUUAUAUAAAUUUAAUGUCCAUGAAGAUGCAAAUUUUAUACCCUAUUAUAUUAAAUUCAAUCAUCGUGUGGAAAUAGAUAAGUUUUUUUAUUUUUUAAUUAAUUGAUCAUACUAGAGAUUAGUGGCGAUUACGUAUGGUAAAGCUCAACCAGAAAAGGACUUCAAAAAAUUAAUUUACGUGUUGAUUUACAAGAAAAUGAAAGAAACUGAUAAAACAAAUUGGUCAAGGAGUGAGCGAAAACAGGUUUUAGAUAUGAGUGAUCAUAAUGCAAGGUUUAAUUUACAAUGAGUUUAAAUGAGUGCUCAAUUAUUUAAUUUCAUACAUAGUGAAAUAAUCAGAGUCGUAUUUCAAGUAGGGAUAUAUAAUUUAUUUUUUAUUUAUAAAUACUCACUUUAAUUCUUAUCCCAUCUUACCUAAUUAAACGCUAUUUUUCUUAUUCUCAGGAAUACUCAAUUUUCAUCCAAACGCAAAAUUCAUCAAAUCCCUGCUUAUACCUCAAUUUAUACCUAUUUUCGGAAUAUCCACUUUUUGCUUAUUUCCGAACCAAACGAUACCUUAGAGAUGAGCAGGAUUUUAUCCCUACAAGUAAGGGUGUAAUGUGAGCCGUAUUGGGUCGGGCACGGUCCACAUUCAUCCGGGCCAAACCGGGCCACAGGUCAGCCCGUCCCGGCCCGGAUAAAAUUCGGCCGGGCCGUUCCGGGCUGAAUUUUAUGGAUUCCCCGCCCGACAUGGCCCUCUGGCCCCGAUGGCACAGGUCGUGCCGGACCAGACCGGGUUCCGUACCAGCCAUUUAAUUUUUUAAUAUUUUAAAAAUAUUUAAAAUAUUAAAAAAUAAAAAAGUAAAAUGGUUCUUCUUCCGGUUAAUAUGUUAAAUCAAAAAAUAAAAUUUAGUAAUUUAUAAAGUAAUAAAAUUUUUAAAUAAUUUUAAAAAGUUAUGAAACUUUGAAAUUUUUUUAAAAAAUCUUUUUCUCCAAAGGUUUCUGAACAAUAAACCUUUGGAAUAAAUGUUCAUCCCCCAAGAAGGGCCUUGGGCCGUGCCGGGCCACGGGCCAAGCUAUCGGCCCGGCAUGGCCCAGGCCCAUAGCGGGCCUAGCGGGAGCGGCCCAGCACGGUCCGGCACGGGAUCUACAUGGCUAACUCAGAAAGUCAGAAACUUUUCAAGAAUAUAUAAGUAAUUGACCCAAUAUUUGAAAUAUAUUUAGUUUUUAGAAUAAUAUUUAAUUGCUAUAUAUUUAGUAAAUUGAUCAAUCAUACUUACUAAUUUGACAUAUGAACAAAAAAAAAUGGAGUGAUAAAUUGACAAUAAUAAAUCAAAAUUGGAAUUAGGGUUUGGCUACAUUUGUGUUAAAUCCCAAGUGGUCCGGCCUAAACCGGCCCAAACCGGCCCAAGAUAUGGGCCGGGCAGAACCCUUGCAAAAUAACCUGGGCUCGACCUAGGCCCAGCAUUCUCCUGAACCAUUGAUUCUAGAUCCAAGUCUCCCUUUUUUGAACUUUUGUUUUUUGUUUUUUUUUUUAAUUUAAGGACAAACUUCAAUUUAUCCUACUGCAGUUUAACAAUUUUUUUUAUUUUGUUAUUCCGCGGUUUUAAAAGUUACACUUAACCUAUGAUUCAAAAAAUUUCACUUUAAACAAUUUCACUUUCUACCCUAUCGGCGACAUGUUUUUUUUAGUGAAACAGAAUUAAAACCCCAUUCAUAUUUUAAGAAAAGUUUCAAAUUCAAAAAGGAUAUGCAAAUUACCUGCAGGUGUUUGGGAUAAGAUAGGACACAUGAAAUGCUUCUUCUCCAUCUAGUAAUUUGAUUAGAAAUUCGAAGAAAAAGUUCACGUCUUGGGUCUAAAAAAUUUGGUUGAUUUCGUUUGGCGUAUGUAAUGUUGAUAGUAUGGUUAGAAAAAUUGAGUAAGAUCAAGGCGAUCAAACAUAGGAUCUCCUGCUUUAAUACCAGAUCAAAUUAUACUGAAAUAAUUUUUUUUUUUUCCAAACACUAAAUCUAUCAAAAAAAAUAGUAAUGUAAUUUUUUAAUAUUCAUUAAUUUUAUUUCUCAACUCAUCAUGGUCCCUAGAAGUAGAAGAAAAAUUUACAUUAAUAACAAAAAGAGAUCAUGAAUUUGAAAUAUAGGUAGCAAUUAAAUCCAACAGCUCUAUGUAUUGUAAUUAAUACCUACUCAUAUCAUGAUCAUUAAAUAUUUUUCUACGAAAAGUACAUAAAUACUUUGUACUUCAUUAAUUAUUAUUCAAUUACAAUUUACGCCAACUAUGCAAUAUAUUCAACUCUCUUAAUUAAUUCAGAAANAAAAAAAAAAAAAAAAAAAACCCAUGACUUAUUUUAGUAGUUAAUAAUUAAUUAUAUUAUUUGUACUUUGUUAACUUUUCACUUUACUCAUCUUAAUUAGGGACCCCCCCACUGUGUGUUUUCAUAUGCCUAGCCCUACAUAGAUGAUACGGAAUUAAUUGUUUAAUUUGAUAUAUUUUUAUAAAUUCAAAGUACAUUAAUUCAUCUUAUUUUUUUAAAAAAAACUAAAAACAUUAUUGUGAUAAGUGUUAAUUUUGUAGCUAAUUAAAGAGGUUUACAUGUGGUCAAUAACAAUUAUUCGCGUGCUUCGAUCAAACUGAUAUAUAAACCUUUUUUUUAUUUUUUUAAUUUAUUUUUUUGGUCAAUGAGACUAUAAUUAAUUAAACAUUUUGAUCCACAUGCACCGAUCUCUACGUCUCACGUGAAAAAAGUGGACACGGCCAAAUCCUUUUGCUUGAUCAUGAAGUCAACUCGCACGUAUUAUUAUUUUACAUCAAUUUUCGUGCUCCAUGGUUUCAUGCAAUUCUCGUCAACUCUGCAUGCGCCUCGAGAUGAGACCUAGAUUCUCGUGUCAAUCUCGAGUUACGAAAUUAUUGCGUGCACCAGGUGUAUUCUUUAAUUAUAAACACCGCAUCUUAAAAUCUGAUUAUUAUUAUUUUAAAAUCAAUAUUCAAUUUGAUAAGAGAUCAGAGAAUCAUAUCACUAUAUUUACGAGGAUGGUGCAUGGUGCACUAGAUGAAGAAAUAAUUCUUUAAAUUUUUAUUUGUAUUUUUUUCCCCCUUUUGAAUAUGAACAAGCAAUAAGUACUCCUCUAUAAGACUCAACAUCAACUUCGCCUUUUAUGCCGCUUCCUCUCACAUGCUUUGUUGGUCUUGGUUUUCCCCUCACAUGCUUUGUUAUAUUAGUUCUACUAAAUUCAUUAUAUUAUUAUUAUGUAUUAAAAAAGAAAUACUAACAUUAAUAUUGUGGUCCUUCACCACCAUAAACCAUCUCCAAAAUACUUUGCGUAAAAAGCAAACUUCUUAAAUUGAGCAUUCAAAUUUUAAUUACUAUGAUAGCAGUCCCAAGGACCAUGUAACUUUGAUAGUUUUUUUUUUUUUUUUUUUUUUCGUUUUUGGUCGGGUUUUUUUUUUUUUUUUUUUUUUUUUUUUUUUUUUUUUUUUUUUUUUUUUUUUUUUGGGGCAACUCAAUAUGCGCAAAGAAAUUUUUUACACACUAUUUGUUUGAUCAUCAAUCAUUUGGGCCUUUUUAUUUUAGAAUAAUUAAAUAGAUUUAUGCUAUGUUGCAACCAUGUAAAAAAUUUCUGCACACUAAUUAAUUUCUAGAGAUUUGAAAAUUUGUCUAUUAUAUUGCAUCAAUCUUAUCAAUAUAUAGUAAAUAUGUUAGAACUAGUCAAGGCUAUAACAAAUAAACAAAUUAUUUUAAUUAUUAAAUAAAAAAUUAAUGGCGACAAUUUCUAACAAGUGAUCAUGUAAUUCUUCGCUCUCUCCACUUUGAAUCAGAGUAGAUCAUGAUAGACCAUAAUCACGUAGUCUUGCGUCAGAAACUGUUUCCAAUAAAUUUUUAUCCCUAAUUAUUUUAAAAAAUAAUACUAUAAAUAGAAGGAAAAUUGUAAUGUAUCUUAAGCUUACAUAAAAUUAAAAUGUUGUUUAUUAACUAAAACAAAACAAGAACCCGCACCACAUAAAAAUUACUAUGACAACUUCUUAAAUUAUUACGAAUGCUAUAAUUUUACAUGCACGUGGAGAGCGUAGCAAAAUUCAAAAGGGCAAAACUAGCUCUGGUCAAUGAAUGAUCUAUGAUGUGGAAGUACAAGUCCACACCAAAUCAAAAUAAUCUCCUCUCUCAAAAGCCCCUCCUCCAUAAGUAUCUCUCCCAUAGUUACAUAGGAGUGGUGCAACUCUACCUCCAUUGGACUCAACAAGGAGCAAAGUUGCACCAAAAGUCUCAGCCAUGGUGGUGCAUAAAACCCAAGUGCUCCCUCUCUCCUCCGACGUCCCCGUCAGCGCCGCCGUGACGAAGAAGCCGCUGUCCGUGUUCCCCAAACCCUCUUUCGCCGCCGGCGUCCUCCUCCUCCUCCCCUUCUUCCUCCUCGCCUUCAUCUACCUCUUCCUCUUCCCCCAGGAGUUCCAGCUCCAGUCCUUCAUUGCCUCCUGCAACCCCAUCGCCGCCUCCUCCUACGUCGGCUCCUCCGACGCCCUGACCACUCGCGUCACUCGCGAGCCCGACUUCCGCCUCCUUAUCGGUGUCCUCACCCGCGCCGACCUCUACGAGCGGCGCCACCUCCUCCGCCUCGUCUACGCCCUCCAGAUGGCCAACCUCACCGCGCACGUCGACGUCCGCUACGUCUUCUGCCGGCUCUACAAGGACGACCAGCGCAUCCUCGUCCCUCUCGAGAUCAUGCAGUACGUACUGUUAAAAUAGCCAGCCGAAGUCCUGUCGGGAUGCAUAAAUAUCUUGUUCGGUAUAUAUUUAGAGCGUGGUCAAAUACAUAGAAUGAAAUGAUAUGUAUAUUCAGCCUUUUAACUCAUUUUUUUAAAAAAUAAAUCACUUUAUAGAUGAAAUAUGCUAUAUAUAUCUUACUAAAAAGUCUUCGGAUAACUUAAUUUUGACAUCCAAAUAAUUCUAUAACUUUGUAUUCAAAAGGCACGACGACAUCAUUAUCCUCGACUGCGAGGAGAACCUCAACGACGGGAAGACCUACACCUACUUCUCGAGCAUCGCGAAGCUCUACGGCGGCGGCAGCGGGGCCGAGGGCGGCCGACGGCCGCCGUACGACUACGUCAUGAAGGCGGACGACGACCUAUUCGUGCGGCUCCUGACGCUGAUCGAGUCGCUGCGGCCGAUGCCGCGGGACGACAUGUACUACGGCGCCGUGAUCCCCUGCGAUAGCAUGGACCCGUUCCGAGACUACAUGUCGGGGAUGGGGUACAUCCUGUCGUGGGACCUGGUGGAGUGGAUCGGGUCAUCGGAGGCGGUGCGGAACAAGUCGGCGGGCGUCGAGGACAUGCUCACCGGAGAGUGGCUGCGCACGGCGGGGAAGGGGAAGAACCGGUUCAACGCGAAGCCGGCCAUGUACGACUUCCCUAUACCAGUGCCGAUCGACGCGUGCUCGCACGGCUUCGUCCCCGACACCGUCGCCGUCCACCGGCUCAAGGACAACCCCAAAUGGGCCACCACCUUGAAGUACUUCAACUUCACCCAGGGUUUGAAACCAUCCAAGUUUUAUCGUAUAGAUUAAUUGAACGUUUUUUUCUCUUAAUUUCUAAGGAGUUUGUAGUUUGUAACUUGUAUACGUACGUUACUUGGACAGAUAAUGUGGACACACAAUGCUAGCGCCACUUUGUUGAGUAGCUUCUAAAAUUUAAUUUUAAUUUAAGAAUUUUUUAUUUAAAUUUUAAUACUGUAUUAAUUAAACAGUGAAUUUAGAUAGAGUCCAGUGAAGGGGAAAAAAAAAACAAAAAAGAGUUCGCAUAUGGCGUAUAUAUCAAAUGUUUCAAACAAAAUAUGAAGGAGCUCCUCAAUGAAGUCACUCAUAAAAUGCAUAAAUUAUACUUCAAUUUAUUUAUUCAUAAACAUUGACCUUGCUUAACUCCUAUAUAAUAAAUAAUAUGAUAAGACGAGAGGUCGUUAAUAUAGAAAGAGGUUUUAAAAACUCAGAGGCCUCAAUAGAUCUGUUUAAAUGCAAUUAUAUUUCAUUUUGGAGCAGUCCCUUAUGUCAGAUAUUAAUCAUGAAUAUAAAAAAAUAUGUAUUAGUCUAGACCGGGGAUACCUAUACUCUUAUAAGUAUGACCCUUUUAUAAUCAUAAAUUUUCGGCUAUUGGAUAAAGAGAUAUGCGAUUAGGAUAAUAAUGGUCUCAGUUAAGAUGAUUAUGUUCUCCUAGGAGCUGUUUGGCUCGGGUAUAAAAGAGGAAAUAAAGAGAAUAUUCCCUCUUUAUACCCAAAUAAAAAAAGAGGGGGGUGGGAAUUAUUGUUCCCAUCUUACCGGGGUAAGGUGGGAACAAUAGUUCCCACCCGGUUGGAAACAAGCUUGUUCCCACCCACGAGAGAGAGAGAUAUUGAUUCUGAUUUUAAAUUUAAAUUUUUAAAAUUUAUAAUUUAAAAUUAUAAAUUUUAAAAUUUAAAUUUUAAAUUUGAUAUUUUUAAAUUUAAAUUUUAAAUUUGAUAUUUUUAAUUUUUAAAUUUAAAAUUUGCUAUUAUAUUUUUUUGAAAUUUAAAUUUGGUCUUAAAUUUAAAAUAUGAUAUUUAAAAUUAUAAUUUUAAAUUUUAAUUUUAAAUUUUAAAAUUUAAAAGUUAAAAUUUUUAAUUUUCAAUUUAAAAUUAUAAGUUUAAAAUUUAAAAAUUUAAAUUUAAUUAUAGGGAUAAUAUUAUUAUUAUCUAUUUAUAACUGAUAACUAUUCCUCUUAUUCUCAAUAACCAUCUAAACGCAAUUUUUUUAGUUCCAACUUAUACUCAUAUUUACAUCCAAACAAAAAAAUAUUCUUGUUCUUAUAAAAAUUCAUAUUUGUAUCUAUUCCUGGUAUAACUAGUUCCUACUAAUUCCGGAACCAAAUCUCUUUAUACUUAAGUUUUCGACCGUUAGAUCUAUGUUUUUGAACAAUUUCACCUGUUAGAUUAUACUAUUCAACCAACCAUUCAUUCAACCCUAGAUAAGAGUAUAGUAGCCGGACUC
rnacentral:lncRNA from 1 species